rnacentral:lncRNA from 1 species
UAAAAGUUUGCAUGUUAUGAUAUGGCACAUAAGAGUGAUUGACUGCUGAGAUUUAAAGGAAGUGUAAAACAGAGUGUUCGACAGAGCGUCGCUACUACAGCAACUUAUGCUGUACAUUUGCUUCGCAUGCAUUUCUUUUUUCAAAUAUCAAUACUAUUUUUUAAAAUCUCUUGGGCUAUGCAUGUUCGUAGUUCCUAUAUUUGUUGUAUUUGAUCAUGGGUUGCCAUUCUAACAAAUGAUUGUGUGGGAGCUUAUAUGCCUUUGUUUUAUGUGUUUCCCCUUGUUUGUUGUAUAACAAGUAUGAGACCUAUUAUAACUACUAGAUUUUAUAUUAAAUAACUUUUGACCAUUACAGAAGCCCCACGAAUAUAAGACCAUAAGGUCAAUUCCUCUUUUCUCGAACCAUAUGGAGACUAUAAUUAGGCUGUGUUUGGAUGGUGUAAUUGGGAAAUCCAACAGAUUUUUUUAAUGCCUUAUUAUCAGAUGCAGCAUUUGAGAAUUCAUUGUUAGUAUAGUUUGUUUUAUAAUUUUAGAAUUCAUCAAAAAAAACAUAUGUAGUUACAAUAUAAAACACAACAAAGAAUUGUCAUGUGGGGUGUAAAUUUUAGAAAUCUGAGAUUUGAAGAAAUGAUUUGAGGACACGUAGAGAGGUCACGAGAGAAAAAUGGAGAGUGGAAUAGGUAUCUUGAGUUGGAGAGAGAAAUAGGAGGUUCUGGUGAUCAAGAGGAACACCAAAGAAAAAGAACACAUAAAAAUUGUAGAAUAAUAGGGUGUUGUUGAAGUUGUUGGAGAUUUAAGAAGAUGCUGUUGGUUAUGGAAAGUGAGAUCUGUGGCCAAAGAUGAGUUUCGUUGGCUGGAGGUUUUUAGAGGUUUUUAGAUGAGAAAUUCUCUCUUUUGGCAUUUUUUUUUGUUUCACAGGUUUGGUCUCAUUUUGAAAUCUGACCUCAGUAGAUCAGAUGUAAAGUGUGUUUUUGGAACCUCGUGUUACAAAUACAGGGCAAUUUAGCCAAAUUAUUCUCUUGCGUUGCCACAUGGUAUGAAAUUUUUAUUCUUGAAAUAUGGGGGAGCUUUGAGGUACUGUAUCUAAAUUCUAAACACACUGUUGCUGUCUUUGGAUGUGAGGUAAUUGUGACGGGAAUUUAUUUUGAGAAAGGAUUUUAAAUUCUACAGUGUCAGCUUCAUCUAAAUUGUACCAUCUUUUAGGCAUUGAAGACAAUAUCCUAAUUUGAGGAAACUCUAACUCAACCAACAAAUAGAUAGUUUCCAGUAUAGGUAUUGAGGGAUUUUAAGUUGCUUUGUUCUUUUUAUAUUUUCUAAACUAUAGAAGUACCUCACCCAAACUUGUUGUUAGCAUACAUCAACUUUUGGCAGUUUGGAAAGUACCUUCCUCAGUUCUUCCUGCUUCCUACUCUUUUCUGAUGCUUUGCAUAAAACUAUCUCGUGGAAUUCCUUAAAUUACUCUUUUCUGAGGGAUCACUAGGACGUAAAUAUAAAGUUGACUGUAAGAUAUCCUCCAUUAUUAAUUUUAACAAUUUUGUAUGGCCUCAAUUCUAUUUUUGAAAAUCAUGGUCUUUGUGUAUGGUGUCAACUCCUUGAUAAAUUUAUAUGGUUUGCUAUCUGGAAUUCUUUGACAUGUAGAUCCAUGUAUGGUGUCGGUAAAGAAUGUGACCUCAGACAAUUUGGCAGAUCUUUUGUGUUCUUGAUAAAUUUGGCAAGAUCUUGUUGUCUGUGUAAAUCAAUAAUGUCUUCAAGCCUUCAAAUAUCUUGUCAAUAAGUGACUAGAAACUCUGUAAGGUUAGGAUUUUGUAGUUGGUAGAUGUCUUGUCAAUAAGUGACACUGCCUUAUUCUCAAAAAGACUUAUGUAUUUUGGUACACAUGAUAUUGACAUUUGUAAUCUUGGAAGGUAUGGUUUAUGUUUCCAGAAGUGUGCUCAUUACGCAAGCAUUAUUCAUUUGUGUUUCUUGUAUUGCUUCCAGGGGACUGCUGAUGAUGUUGUGGAUUGGUCCCAUGGUAAGCAGCUUUGGGAACUUUGUAAAGAGAAAUAUGAACCUUUAUGGGUUAAAGGAGGGAAUCAUUGUGACUUGGAACUAUAUCCACAAUACAUCAAGCAUCUAAAAAAGUUCAUUUCAGCGAUUGAGAAAUCUCAUCGUAGAAAAGGAUCUGUCCCACUUCGUGAUCAACCAGAGAAGCCUCGGAAUAGCACAGAUUUUAGGGAGACAUCCAGACCAAGCAUUGAUCAGAGAGAAAAGUCAAGGGCUAGUAUUGACCAAAGAGAAAUGCCAAGGUUAAGCACCGAUCAUAGAGAAAAAGCCAGAAACAGCACUGAUAAGAGAGAAAAAUCAAGAAAGAGUGUGGAUCAGCCUGAGAAAUUCUGUAAUGGCUCAGACCAACCUGAGAAAGCAAGGAACAGCAUUGACCGGUUAGUUCUAAUACAUGCUAGCAAUUCCUGUACCUUUCAUUUCCCUGUUCUAUUGUUUUCUCCGUUAGUUGUGUCCUUAUGAUGGAAUGACCAUAUACAAAACAGGCUUUAUGACUUUUGGCAUUGAAUUCUGGUGCAGCUUUGGAGAGAUGAUGAGAUCUGUUGGAUUGUGCAAUAUUGAUUGUUUCAGGCCCACGGCAACAGCUGUCUGAAUAGGGGACAAGUCUACUAAUUGAGGUAGUAUUUUAUUACACUUCAUUUAAUUUGAUUGGUCAGUAGGGUUGUUAGGGGGAUAGGAACAAAAAGCCUAAUGUUUCUUAGUAAUAUUUUAGAGUGAAAAUAGGAAAUCAAUUUAAUGAGGGGAAUUGUGUAUCUUAAUUACUUGCCCUUUCGAGUUAAUAAAUCUAUCAUUUUACUUUCCUAUGCUCUUAAAUGUUUGUGUGUUUGUUUAUGGAAAUGUGUAUGUCUGUGUAUGCCAGUGCAUGCAUGAACCUUAUUUAGGUAUUUUUUAAUUAGUGAUUUCAUAAAAUGAAAUGAUUUAUUAUCAGAGGUGUCUACUUUAGAAUGGCGAUGUUGAAUUGAACAUAUGCCUGUGAUGGAUUGGUUGGAAGUGUACUUCAUUUUCCAAGUGACAAGAAUUGUUAAAACCUUGCCCUCCUCAUAUGUCUUUGGUGUUUUCAGGCAUGUUAUUGUGCUAUGUUUGGUAUUCUCCCCAUUUCCUUUACAAGCAAGCACCUAUGGAGCACUUGCAUUUACAUUGUCUAAUAUAGCAUCAAUAUUUAAGGUCACAGUGUAAUGAAGCUUUAUGAAGUUCCCUUUUUUUUUUCUCUUCAAAGGGCUUUAAGCUGUGAUUAGUAUUUCAUUUUGAUGUUUAGACACAGAAUAACUUGGAUUUUAUAACUUUGUAGCUUUCUUGCAAAGUUAAUGGAUUUCAUGUUUGAUAUAUGCACUGCGAUUCAGGAGAGAAAUGCAUUUGUCAAUUAAUCUUAUAAUAAUUGUUUUUAGAAAAUAAAGAUGGUGUAACAAAUUAAGGAUAAGAGAAAAGGUUUACGGAACACAAUUGUAGUAAUCUUUACCCUAGCUCUUAAGCCUAAAACUCAAUAUGUAUGUUUCUUGUGAGGUUGAGACCUUGUCACAAGUGAAUAAGGAGAAAAAGAAAAGGUUAAUGUAGUCUUUGAUGUUUGACAACUUGAUAAUCAUCUUCACAAAACCUUGUCAGGUAACAUGGUAGUUGCACUUGAAGGCAUUUUUGAAUUUGCAUGUCCAGGUUUGGUUCGGGUCAGCUGAUACAAAAGAGAAAUGGAGUUUAUUUUUAUUGUUGGGGACUUACAGUGUGAGAUUUUUCUCGGUCGAAAGAGAAGUGUGAGCAAGAAAAGCAAGGGCUAAGGGGGAACCUUCUUUAAUGGAUGGGUGGCUUUCUAAAAUACAGUAUAGUCAUUGCAGUAUGUGAGAUAGAUAUAUAAUCUGGAGCGUACGUAUAUGUAGGAUAAUUAUACACAUUUCCAGUAUGUAAAGUUUAGAAAAUUUGCUACAAAAAUUGGCAGAAAUAAUUAGGGAUAUAUAACUAAUGCAUAAACAAUAGAUAAUUAGCAACAAUGAGAAAACUUAUUACUAAAAAUGUCAAUGGAAAUGAAUUUGCCUGAGUCAAAUAAGAUGAAAGAGUAAGACAUUCGUUGAGAACACGUACGCGUCUCAAAAGCAGACAUUUGAAUCAAAAGAAAUGAGAAGGUUUCAGUCAUCUAUCCUCAGCUUCUUCAGCCUCUGAGCUAAGUCUUCCGCUUCACCUUUAAAACUUGAAGGCUCUGGUUCAUCUUCAUCACUAAUGCUUAAACUUCUUUUGCGAUACAAGACUGUAUCCUCGUAGAAUACAUGGACACCACAUUUCUUCACAACGUAAUUAGUAUGAUUUCCAAAGGCGUAAUCAGCAGCAAUUGCCCUGAAGAAAUCAAAUGAUGCCUCCUCGUAUAGCUUGUCUUCCAAAAACAUUUCACCGCUAUUAAACAUUUUAUGGCCAUUAAAAAAAAUUAACACCAGAUCUGGGUGCUGCAAAGGUGGCGGAUCAUUAAAACUCCAUGGCCUACCAAUUUGUAAACUACGAUCAUCAUCAUCAUCUAUGCUUUUCAGUUUGCAUUCGCAUUCAACAAAAAAGCCCCUGUAGUUUUCUUCAGUACAGUGAACCACAAUGCAUAGAGCAAAACCCAAGAAUCUCCUACGACACCUAUUUGGAUCUAGCUUGAUAAUUAUAGAAGAAUUUGGGCUCUGAUGCUCAAACCUUUCUGGUAUUUCACUUCCAGGAAAAUGACAAGCUACUUGUCCUGGUCCACGAGGAAACUCCCUUGCCAAUUGCAUUGCCAAGCGCUGAAUUCUGAGCAUUCCAUUAGCUACAAUGUUGUUGAUUGCAUUAUGAUUCAGGUUGAAGCAAUGACCAAAGUUGUUCAGCUGAUAGCUCCGAUCGAAUCUAGUUUGAUGGUGAUCUGCGAACGAUACUUCUUCUAAUGAUAUGCAGCCAUUGGCAGGUAUAGAUCCUAGACUCGGUGGAAGCUCCGGUAAUGAUUUAAGGUAUUUGCAAUUGAUCACGGUUAGGAUUUGAAGGCUUCUAACGAUACUGCUCGGUAGUUUUUGAAUCCUUGAGCCGUCCAUACCUAAUUCGAGCAAUAUUAAGCUCGAUAAGUUCCUUGGAACUUCUGGGAAUUCGGCGAUUGGGCAAUAAUAGAGGUUUAGAGUUCUCAAAGAGCCCAGCUUAUAGAUAUUGCUGGAAACAUUUUCAACCUUCGAGCCACCCAUGUGCAACUCUCUAAGUUGGAGGAGAUGCUCAACCGAAUCAGGCACUUCUUCUAUCCCAGUUCCAGUUAAAUACAAUGAAUCUAAAUGACACGGGACCUCAGGAAAUUUCUUGAGAUUACGACAGAACUGAAUAUAUAGUCCUUUGAGAGAUUUCAAAUGAUUCAGGCACGGACGUUCAACCAAACUUCUGCACCUAUCAAGGUCUAAUAUUUCAAGGUUUGUGGCUUGUGAGAGAUUUGGGAUCCUGACUAAAUUUCCAGACUCUCUAAGGGAGAGCACUCUUAAAUUCACAAGAUUCUGUGUAACAAAAAUGAAAUAUAACUAAAAUUAGUUUAUAUGAAGUCUCUAUUAAACUUUGGGCUAUAAUAAAAAAGAAAAACAAGUAGUAAAACAUAGGGUUAUAAUAAAUAUAAUAUUAGAGAUUAAUACCUGGUCUCCAUCCCAAAGUUGUUCAAUAUCGCUCUCAGGUAAUAUUAAUUGAACCAAGAUUCUCUGGACAAAAAUUUGAUGGCACAGAUUUCAACGGGCAAUUCUCCCAAUGAAAAUAAGUCAGCUUAUCGGAUAGUGAUUUGAGACGUUGUGCAGGAAGCAGAAUCUUUUGCUUUCUAGAAUGCCGGUGUUCACUACUGUCAUAGAACUUGAUAAAUUUAAGAUGAAUCAUUCUCUUAAAAGCCGUAGCACGUAACUUUAUUGGCUCAACAAUAUUGGACAUGUUGAGGCACAUUCCUUCAAUUGAUUUAGUCCCCUAUAAAUCAACCACAAAUCAGUAAGCAUAUUUAUAUAUAAAAAAUAGAGAUUAAGUAGCAUGACUGCAUCCAAAUUUUUAUCAACAAAAUACAUGAACAAGAAAAAAGGUAGAACAAGUACCGAAUUGUUUUUGAGCACUUUAGACACAUCUUCAAAAGUCCAUAAUCGACUACGUUCUUCAGGCCAUCUGGAUUCUGAACGAACAACAUUCCUACCCAUUUCUUGUAGCAAAUCAUGCAUCCCAAGGUUGUUAGAUCCAUCAUCAUAUAAUAGGCUUCUAUCAAUGAGGUUGGUAAUUCCACCAAGAGCACCACCACUAUAACAACUGUCUAAUAUUUUUUUUACAUCGUCCCCAUCAUACCCUUUAAAGAAGCAUGCAAUAUCAAGAAAUAUGCACUUCUCUGUUUCAUCUAAUCCAUCAUAACUAAUCUUCAAAAUUUUUUGAAUUGUUUGGUCGGGAUGUUCCUUUAAUUUCUUCGUUACACUUUCCCAGCAUACUCUGGUCUUUUGAUAGAGUGCUGAGCCCAAUACUUUGAGAGCUAAUGGAACACCUCUGGCAUAUUGCAAUACUCUGUUUGAUAGAUCCAAGAAAUCAUCGACUGGAUGGUUUUGCUUGAAGGCAUACAGAGAGAAAAGCCGAAGAGAGUCAUCGUAAUUUAAUUCCUGAACCUCAUAUAAUGCAUCAUCAUCAACAACAUUUCUGAGGACUUGUUUAUCCCUAGAUGUUACAAUAAUUCUACUUCCUGGACCGAAGUUAUCGCGCCUAGUAGCUAACUUUUCUCGCUGUUCAACCUCACUAGCAUCAUCAAAGACAGCAAGAACUCUCUUACGACGGAGUCUAAAAAUGGUGAAUGUGGAUCCUAUUCUGGGAUAACUUAUAUGGAGGUCUUUCUCUUUUAAAAUAUUGGAAAGAAGUUUAUCCCGUAGAGGAGUGAUUCCACCAGGUUCCUCUGACUUUUCCCUAACAUUUGCCAGGAAGUAGUGACUUUCAAACGGGGAAAAGACCUCAUCAUAAAUAGCUUGAGCAAGAGUUGUUUUGCCUGUACCACCCAUCCCCCAAAUUCCUAUGAUACGAAUGCUUUCCCCAUCACCAACGCAUAACAAGGAUUUAAUUUGCUCCAUUUGAGGACCUAUUCCAAUCAGUCCCUCACAAUCACUUGCAGACAUGCGAUGCAACUUCUUUAGAACAUCUUGAGCAAUUUCCUCAAUGAUUGUGGGCUCAUGCCUACCAAAUAAGCAAAGGCGAGGAUGGUAACAAAAUAGAAUGAACCACAAAUGAAAAUCCAUUGUCUAAAUAGAACCCGUUACAAUAAGACUAAUUCAUAGAUAAAAUAAGUUUCAAUUCAUAUGUUGAAAAAAAUGUAUACCAAAAGCAUCAAAUAAAGAGAUAGCGAAAAAUAAGAUGAAUAUAUCAAGUGGAGCAGGAAGAGUAAGAAGUAUAAGUAUUACUCACACAUCUUGUUUUAUAUGAAAGCCGCUUAAGUUUCCAGCUCGAGUCAAAGCAUGUCUCUACUUCUGAACCUUGUCUAUCCCAUUCUUUUCAUCUUCAGCAAAAGCCUGUUGAAAACUACCAGUUUGUUUCCGUAUGUCUGAUGGGUCAACAUGGUAGAAAAUGGGCACCACGAGCAGUACCUUUGUAUGCUUGAAUUCCAUUAUCUUGGAGAGUUCUUCCAAGCACCAUGAUGAAGAAGCAUAGUUUUCGGAAAAAACGAUCGCCGAAAUCAUUGACUCUUGGAUUGCUUUCAACAGCGCUGGAGAAAUCUCCUCUCUUGCAAGUCUUCGUAAUCAGUAUAAGUUCCAAUUCCUUUCCGUUGCAAAGCUACAUUUAGGUAAGCGAGGAAGUUAUUGCGAGUGUUUCGCCUCUGAAACUCAAAAAAACUUCAUGCUUUAGAGUCUGGCUUAGUUUUUUUUUUAAUUUAAAAAUUAUUACGAAACUCUUAUGAAAAAUAAUAAUUUUUAAAAUUAAGUUAAAAUUAUUUGAUAAAUUUUUUUUAAGUUUUUUUAUAAGUUAUAAUUUUUUGUUAAAAUUAUCAUAUAAGGUAUUUUUUUUAAAAAGAUAAUAUUGUAAUUAUUUUUAACAAAUGAAGAUAUUUUUAAAAUAAAAAUAAAAAUUUUCUUAUAUUUUUAAAAGAAAAGAAGAAAAAGCUCUUUUUUGGAGUUUUUUUUAAAUUUUAUUUAAAAAAAAAAUAUUUUUUUAAGAGUUUUUCAAAAAAUCAUAUUUGAUCGGGUUUUUGCUUUUAAGAGGUAAAUAAAUUAAAAAAAAAAGUUAAGCUAAACAUGCACUUAAUCGAUUAGAGGAAGUAGAAGCAGAGAAAAAGGAAGCCAUCAGAGAGCAGAUAGUGGAAAUUAGCUUAGACUUUGGGAUUCUUUAAGGAAGCUUUAUCUACUGGAAGAAUGAAUGGAGUAUGGCUUUUGCUUUCGCUGAUGGUAUCAACAUUUAUAAGGGGUUCGGAUUCUAGUUCUCGUGCUAAUGGGGAUAAGUGUAACUUCCUUGAAACUUGUGGAAAUGCCUUGGCUUAUCAUAAUUACCAGUUAUUGUACGAAUUUUUUUUGGCUUAGCAAUUAAUUUUAUUGACAUAAAAUAAAUGAUGUACUUAAAAUUUAAUUUUUAAAUGUUAUUUUUUCAUUAAAAAAUAAAUCUCAUUUUUAAUUUGGGAAAGAAACAACAAGAAUAGCACUUCAUUCGUAAUAACAUUUUCAGUAGUUUAUUUAUUUUGUGUUUGUUCACCUAUCACUCCUCUCAAUUGAUAAUUUGGCAUGUUAUGUCGUCAAAUAAAAAAAGUUAUAAUUAUAAAAAAAUAACACUAGUAUCAAUUAUUUUUAAAUUAACUUUUAAUAAUAAUAAUAAUAAUAAAGAAAUUAAAUUCAUUAAAAUCUGGAUAAAAAGAUUAAAAAAACAAAAUUGAGAUAAUAGAGGGACAAAUUUCACUUUUCAACUCAUAAUUAAGUCAGGAUAUGACAAUUAAGAAUAAAGAAAAAUAAGCCAAAUGCAAAAUAAUAACAGUGAUAUUGGAAUUUGUAACUUAUAAUUUAAUUUUUGACUUGCUAUUGCUAAAUAUUGGAAACAAAAGAAAAGGAUGAGCUAAAGUAGUAUUGAAGAAUAUUGUAGGCGAGGAAUGCAACUAUUAAAACUUUAAUGGAUGGAUCAAGCUCAUUUUUAAUUACUAUUAUUAUUAUUAUUAUUAUUAUUCUUUUUCACUCUUUUAUCAAUUAUUUUAGUACUUUUUACUGCUUUUAAUUGGAAAUUCCCUGGUGCUUGGAUAAUGGGUCAAAGACAUAGAAACACAUAAUCUUUUCUUUUCAGUCCUUUAUCAUACUAAAACGCAUUGCUCCUAUUUCUUUUUGUAGAUACUUGAUUUUGGUUAAUAUCUAUUCUCUAAAGAAUUAUGUUACAACAUAAUAUUGUACAGAGAACAACCUAAACAAGUGAAGUGCUACUUCAUGCAGAAUAACUAAAAUAAGUAAAGCACUACUCCUUAUGGAACAACUAAUACAAGUAGAACAGCUACUUCGGAUAAAAUAACCACUUCACUUGAGUGAUAGUGAAAGUAACUCGGAAUAAGUGGUAGGAUUCAUGGGUUACUUUCAUCUUGGGAUGUUCCGGAGAGUUUGGUUUGGUGGCUCAAAUAUGGAGGUAGUUAAGAGGUCUUCCUUUUAACCUUUUCUUGAAGUACAAAUGUUUCACCCUCUUAUCUUGUUCUCAUAUACCUGUUCACAUACACCUUCUUCUCUUGUACCUAUUCAUGUACAACUUUUCUCUACCAACUCCUACUAGAGAAUAAGUCUCAUUAAAUAUAAUUAUUUUAAUAACCACAUAAUAAAUUUUUAACCGUUAUUCAAUAUUAACUCUCAGUAAUGGUUACCUAACAUUAAAUCCCUCCUUAAUGGUGUCAUUUAUUACGUAUAUUAAAACCUUGUCUUGUAACCGUUACCUCAGACACUAUAUAUAGAGCUUUCACAAUUCAAAAAAGGGACUUUUCUCCACUUUCAGAUUUACCCAACUCUUACUCAAAGCUUUUCUCUCUAGCCUAUUCUCGUUAGAACACCUAUUCUUUUCUUGUUCUCUUCCACCUGCCACAAUAUUUGGUACUUCAGGAACUAUUCCAAUCUUCCUCUCUGUCACUUCCGGUGCAUCCCUUACUUGUUUACAACUCUUCCUCCUCUUUUUAUUACAAGAACCCCACUUACAUUUUGGUGACUUCGCUGGGGAGGAGUGAUUGCAUUAAGUAAGACUUUUAUUGCUAAAAUUUCUUGUUUCUGAAAAAGAUGAAGAGUUCCACUGGCAACCAGGAUGCACCUGUUCCUUCCUACAUUCAAGAUCUGAUGAGAAUGAUCCAAACUUCUCAAGAGAAGAUGCAAAUUUUGGAGGACAAUAAUAAGCGAAUGAUGGACACUAUAUCUCAACUCUCAUCCUCUACUGUCGCCACUUUUCAAGAUCAACUUGUGCACCCUAAUGAGAGUUCACCUGUCGGAGUCACUCAUCUACCAACAUCAGUUACAAACACUGAGGGGAAUGAAGGAAAUGGAGAAAGUGUAGCUGAUGUAGUAGUUGCUGCAAACCUUAACCCUACCAACACCACUACUACAGUUACUCCAACAACUGCCUCUACUACAGUAAUCCCACCUAUUCCUACUCAAGGAUUUGUGACACUAUAAGAGCUCAAAAAGUUGUUAGAUCAGAAGAACAAGAGCUUGAAUUUUUCUGAGUUUGAUCUCAAGUUGCCUUACCCGGCCAGUGUAGCUACAAAACCAUACCCUAAAGACUAUACUAGCCCUAAAUUCAAACAAUUUAAUGGGAAGACUGGUGAUGCACACGAACAUGUCAUGAAAUUUGUGGAAACUCUUGGAGUAGUUGGAUUGGAUGAUGACCUGAAGUUGAAAGAAUUCUCCAAGUCUCUCACUGAGAAGGCUUAUACAUGGUAUGUUAACCUUACUCCUGGUUCUGUUCAAUCUUGGAAUCAAAUGUGUAGGAUAUUUAGGGAAAAGUUUUUCUCGACUCAAGAGAAAGUUACUCUCGUUGAUCUUGGAAGAGAGUUUCAAAAGUCUAGGGAGGAUUUAAUGGAGUAUAUCCAACGUUUUAGAGAGAGAGUGUGUUGGACAUACAAGAAUCUCAUGAUGAGAAAGAGUUGGUAAAAGUGUGUAUUCAGGGGAUGUUUGAUGAAUACAGGUUACACUUGGAGAAUCUACCUCUUUCAACCUUUGCUACACUAGUGGAAGCUACAUGAAGGACCAAUAAUACGGUUCUUAGACAAAAGGGACUCACUUGCUUUGGUAGAAGGAAUAACCCAAUGGUGAAUGCCAUCCAAGAAGGAGGUAGAGAAAGAAGGGGUCCAAUUCGAGCAAAUUUACAUCCUAGAAGAGAUGUCCCUAGGAGAAGGCCAGAUGAGGAGAAUGACUAUUUUCCACCGUUUUCAGUAUCUUUAGAUAGAGUGAGAGCUCUUCUCCAAGAAUGGGUUAGGGAUGGACAGAUAAACUUACCUUACAUUCCACGACCACUAACAGAGGAGGAAAAGGCUAAUCCAAGGUACUGUGAUUAUCAUCGGGCAGUUGGUCAUCCAUUUGCUAAAUGCAGAAACCUUCGAAGAAUGUUCCACAGACGCGUGCAAGCAGGAGAAGUGUUGAUUGGAAAUAACAGAGUCUAAAAUAACCCUCUUCCCAUUCAUCCAAAUCCUCGCGGACAAGUAAGUGUAAUAAUUCAUGCUCACCAUGAUGACCCUUCCUCUUCAAACACUCAAUUCAAUGAUGCAAAUGAAGCUACUAGGGUUACUUCUUCGAUUGCUAAUUCACUCAUGAAGACACCUAGCUUCCUGCAUUUCUUUGACCAACUUGGGUUUUUAGAAGAAGCAAGGAAAGAAGCAACUAUAUCACUAGUUCAGAUAGCUGGAGAACAAUAUGGAGAAUGUAACUUAGUAGGACGACCUAUGGGGAAGAUGGUUGGUGCAUAUAAGAACGCUAUUGUGUUUACAGAGGCAAACAUGUGUACACCUAAUCCUUAUCAUAAUAAACCCCUCUAUGUGGAAAGUACUAUCAAUGGAUAUCCUAUUAGGAGAACAUUCAUUUAUGAUGGUUCCUUUGUGAAUCUCAUACCUUUAUCCACUUUGAAAGCUGUAAACAUGGAUUUGAAGAAUUUACGUCGUCCUAUGACCAUCACUUCUUUUGAUAACAAGGAGAUUAUAACUUUGGGGCAAGUAAUAGUGAAUUUUAAGAUGGGGCCGAUUCAAGAUCAGACAUGUUUCCAUGUUAUUGAUGCAAAUGUGGCUUAUCAUGCUCUAAUUGGAAGAACGUUCUUGCAUAUGCACAAUAUCAUCCCUUCCUCACGUCAUCAAUGUAUUAAGGGAUAUUGGAAAGGGAAGGUGGUUUUCAUUCCAGCCACUAAAGCUCCAUUUGAACGGCAUGAGGUGAGUUAUACAAAGGCUUCUUUCUUUGAAGAUCUAGCAACAAAUGGAGAAAUAGCUAUUGUUAGACCUAUCGGUGUUUCAUUUUCGCGAUGAGAGGAGUAUGUUAGGAAUAAGGCAGAGAGUAGUGGCAAGAAAAAGGAACGAGGUGGGAAGAGAAGAAGGGAAAACACUUCCACAUACAAAGAAGUAAAUGAAGAAAAAAAGUUUAAUGGGGUAACUUCCUAUGCACGUGAAGAUGAAAAAAUUGUGUAUUACUUAUGAUGGGACGUGGGGUUUGGGGAAACAUCUUCUCCUGAUCUCAAACUUUGGAAACCACCGGAUACAUCACCAUCAUGUUUCCAAGUAGAAGCAGAGAAGGAAAAAGUACAGAAAGUAUUACCCACGAAAGAACAACUUUCAGAUCAACCCAAGCCUCAAGGGGAUGAGUUGGAAGAAAUAAAUAUGGCAGAAGAAGGAGAGACAAGUAAGCCACUCUUCAUAAGCAAGAGUCUUUCUGGUGAACAAAAUGUUAUGCUAAUUGAGUUGUUAAGAAAAUUCCAAGAUGUGUUUGCUUGGACUUAUGAGCAGAUGCCUGGACUGGAUGAGAAUCUCAUUACUCACGAGUUACACAUUUCUCCACAAAGCAAGCCAGUGAAACAACAUGCUCGUGUAUUUCAUCAUGAGAUAGAGGACCAGAUAAAGAAGGAGAUUAACAAGCUUCUCAAGGUUGGAUUCAUCAAACCCAUACAUUAUUCUACUUGUCUAGCAAAUGUAGUUCUUGUGAAAAAGAAGAAUGGAACAAUUCGGGUGUGUGUAGAUUUCAGAGAUUUGAACAAGGCAUGCCCAAAAGAUGAUUUUCCUCUUCUUAAUAUUGAUACUUUAGUGGAUGCUACAGCUGGUCAUGAGAUGUUUUCCUUUAUGGAUGGGUUUAGUGGAUACAACCAGAUAAAAAUGGCACGAGAAGAUGCAGAGAAAACAACUUUCAGAACUCCAUUUGGUAAUUUUUACUACACUGUAAUGCCAUUUGGAUUAAAGAAUGCAGGUGCAACCUAUCAACGUGCCAUGACAACUAUCUUCCAUGACAUGAUGCAUGAUUGUAUGGAAGAUUAUGUGGAUGAUAUAGUAGUGAAAUCCAAAAAGGCUUUUAAUCACUUUAAAGAUUUGAAAAAAGUAUUUGAACGGUGUAGAAAGUAUAAUCUCCGCAUGAAUCCUUUAAAGUGUGCAUUUAGAGUAACAGUUGGGAAAUUCUUGGGUUUUGUGGUUCACAGAAAAGGUAUAGAUGUUGAUCCUGCAAAAAUAAAAGCUAUUCAAUCCAUGCCAUCUCCAGUGAAUCAAGAACAACUCAAAAGCUUGUUGGGAAAAGUCUCUUAUAUUAGGAGAUUCAUUCUAGCUUUAAGAGAAAUCAUUGUGCCAUUUCAAGCCUUACUUAAGAAAGGUGUUCCAUUCAUAUGGGGUGAACCACAACAACAAGCAUUUGAGAAGAUUAAAAAGAUUCUUAUUUCUCCUACAACGAUGAUCAUGCCUAUCAAAGGAAAGCCAAUGAUGUUGUAUUUGACUUCUACUCCAUACUCAAUUGGUGCCUUACUUGUACAGAAAAUGGAUGGAGAAGAAAAACCUGUGUACUACCUUAGUAGAUGCUUACACAGAAGUGAGUUGAAUUAUCCACCUAUGAAAAAACACUGUCUUGCUUUAGUCUAUGCAAUUCAAAGGCUUCGACACUAUUUCUUGGCACACAAGCUUAUAAUCGUGACAAAGUCUGAUCCCAUCAAGUUUUUACUUUAUAAGCCAGUUCUAUCUGGAAGAGUAGCAAAGUGGCUUCUUUUAUUGGGAGAAUUUGAUGUAUCAGUUGUUCAGCUAAAAGCUAUCAAGUCUCAAGCACUUUCAGAUUUGUUACCAUAUUUUCCAUCUCAGUUUGAAGAGGUUAUUCCUGAUGCCAUUCCAGCUGAAUUUCAUGAAAAAGUGUGCGCAGUAAAUAUAGAAGAAGGAUAGUGGAGUUUAUACUUUGAUGGUUCUUCAAACAGUUUUGGAGGAGGUGCCAGAAUAGUUCUUAUUCCUCUGGGUAGAAAAGAUAACUCCACGAUGCAAAGUUCUAAAUUAGUUGUCUCUCAUUUGAGUAGAGGUCACAUAUCUUUGGAGGGAAAAGGUCUUCGUGUCUUGGAAGCACCAAGUGAAGAUGGGAAUUUCUUGAUUUCAUGUUUAGAGUUAAACUCUUUUGAGUCAAGUAGAGAACCUAUCUCGUUAGCUUUCAAGCUAGAUUUUCAAUGCACAAAUAAUUAAGUUGAGUAUGAAGCACUAGUUUUGGGGUUGUAUACGACAGCAACGAUUGGAAUAAGCAAUCUUUGCAUCCAUGGGGAUUCUAAUCUUAUUGUAAAGCAGACUAAUGGUGAGUUUUCUUUGAAAGAACCAAUACUUGCUUCUUACAAGACUCUUGUUCAGUCUUUGUUAGAGAAAUUUCAAACGGUGAGAUGUGAACAUACUCUGAGAACAACGAACCAUUAUGCAGAUGCCCUUACUACUUUGGCUUCUAAAAUCCGUAUUUCGGAGAAAGAACGAAGUAUUCCUAUAGUUGUACUUAAGAGGACUAUCUCAUGUCCAUCUAGUGAGCUAUUACGACCUCCAAUUUAUAAGGAAGAGGAUUGGCAAAAACCCAUCAUAAAAUAGCUGCUUAACCCUGGUUCUACUGCUAUUCCGCGCUUAAAGCACUACAUUUUGAUUUAUGGUACACUUUACCACAAAAGGAAGUAAUGGAAUUCUAGCAAGAUGCGUUUCUUAGGAAGAGGCAAAAGAAAGAUUGAGAAUAGCCCAUAAACAAUGGUGUGGCGAGGAAGGACCACCUUUACAUCGCUUAAUCCAAAGAGCAAGAUAUUUUUGGCCAUCUAUGUCCAAAGAUGCUUUACAGCUUCAAAAGGCUUGCAUUAGAUGUUCUGAACCACUAGAUGUACAAGAGUGUAAUUUUGUGGGAAGUGCUGGUGAUUGGCGUAGGCCUUAUAUUGAUUUUCUCCAAAAUAGAAUUUUACCAGCUAACUUUCAAGAUGCAAGACAACUCAAGAGAAAAGCUCAACGUUUUUUUCUUAAAGGAAAUGACUUGUUUAGGCUUUCAUUUGCAAGAACAUCAUUGAAAUGUGUUUCCCCAGCUGAUGUCAAUCCAUUGUUAGCAGAAGUGCAUGCAGGUAGUAGUGGGGAGCAUAAAGGUGGAAGGAAACUUUAUCAGAAGCUUUUGGAUCUUGGGUAUUAUUGGCCUACUAUGGAAGCAGAUAUAGUGAAUUAUGCAAGGAAGUGUUAUCCGUGUCAGAUUUAUGGGAAUGCUAUACAUGCUCCGGCUGUACAACUUCAUAGCAUCAUUACUCCAUGGCCAUUCCAUACUUGGGCAUUUGAUUUGAUUGGACCUAUCAAUCCUCCUUCUAAAGGAUAUACUUGGAUAUUAGCAGCAACAAAGUGCUUUACUAAAUGGGUGGAAGCUAUCUCUUUGAAGAAGGCGACUAGUCCAGCUGUAGUAAAUUUCAUCAAGGAAAACAUCAUUUGUAGGUUCGGUAUACCUAGGCGUAUUCUUUCAGAUAAUGGUACUCCAUUCAUUAAUGCUGGUGUAAGGGAAUUACUUGCUCUUUACGAUGUGGAUCAUGUGAAGUCUACUCCUUACUAUCCGAAAGGAAAUGGUCAAGCUGAAGCUACUAACAAGACUUUACUUAAAGUACUUAGUAGAAUGGUGCAUGAAGAACCAAAGAUGUGGCAUGACGCACUUUCAGUAGCAUUAUGGGCAUAUAGGAUUUCCAAGCGUGGACUUACGAAGGCAACUCUUUUUUCACUAGUAUAUGGAACAGAGGCAGUGCUACCUGCGAAAAUUUUAGUUCCGUUUGUAAGAUUAGCUCUAGACGCUGAACUUGAUAAUGAUAAUUUAUGAAUGUUAGAAUUGGAAGCAUUGAAAGAAAGAAGAGAUAGAGCAAAGAAGAAUUUAUCAAUCUAUCAAAGAAGGUUGAGUAGAGCUUAUGACAAGCUAGUGAAGAGGAGGAAUUUUGAAGAGAGAGAUAUGGUGUUACGCGCAGCUGAGCAUAUUAGAAGAGGAACCCCAUCUUCUAAAUUCAGCCUAAAAUGGGAAAGACCAUAUAUUAUUCUUGAGGUGAAUGAAAGUGGAUAUUGCAAAUUGAUAAAUUCUAAGAACAACACCAUCAUUGCUCCAAUCAAUUUUCAAUAUAUAAAGAAGUAUCAUGUAUGAGGUUCUAACUCCACUCUUUGUUGUAUGCAAAAUACAUGAUUUACUCUUUCGCAAUGAAAGGCAUUUCAGGAGCAGCUUCAUCGCUUUUAUAUUGGCUGUGUUUUACUAUUUAUAAUUUAGUCGCUAACUUCAUUGCUUAUAUCUUGGCUGUAAUUAUAUUAUUGGUCGCAAGCUGUAUCGUUUAAUCUUUGACCAUAAUUAAUGAUUAACAUUUCAACCGCUAGCUUUAACGCUCAUAAUUUGGCUAUAAUGAUAGUAUGUUAUUGGUCACAAGCUUCAUCGCUCAUCUUUAGCCUUACCUUAUUACUCACAAAUUGGCCAUAGCUCUUAUGUCAUUCCCCUUUUGUGGAAAAGGGGGGGACGACCUGAUGGCAAGGGUUGAGGCUCGGGAGGGGGUGAGCCAACUUGAAGAUGGGCGAGCAAUAACGGCUGGAACCCUUACUUGACGUCGAGAGGCUCGAAGGCAUCGGCACCCAUGGGCAGACUAAGUGAACGAGUUAGCGGACAAGCAGUGUGCGUGGGCUAGCACGUAGACGGGGAGCGCAGGUGCUCAGGAAAUUGACACGCAGCUGAGCUGGCAGACUGGGGCGUAGCAGGAGCGCGCAAACUACCCAGGCAGACUGCCAGAAGCGUGGGAAGCAUUGGCCAGCCCGAGGCCUAUGGGGCAGCCGUUGCCUACCGUUGGCUAUAGUGCCAAGGGUGCGUCAGAUGGGCCCAACAGAGGCCAAAAUAGCCCCUAGCUAUUCUAGACUGCCUUAUGACGGCUCCAAGAGGUCUUAAGCUAUAUAAACCCUUGAGCCCCCUUAUUUAGGACUAAUGACUCUUGUAUUGAAAAUUCUCUCAAUAAAAACUCUCUCUUUGUUCUCUUAUCUCUCUUGUGCUUGCCAUAAUCGAUCAUAACUAGCUAACUUGAGGAGGCUGCUAGCCUUUCUAACCCCUUUUAGCAAGGCAAAGACUAGACCGCACGGGUCAAGAGAAAACCCCCGUGACACUUGGUAUCAGAGCGGUAAUGGCAAACACGAGGUUUGAAGUGAGAACCGAAGGUGUUGCUUCCACCCUCGAUACAAGGGAGACACGUCCAGGUAGGGUGAAGAGGAAGUCCAUCUCGAGAGACCUCAUAGUCGCGGUAGAGUCCAAGCUGUCCCACCAAGAGGAGCGUGUGGCAGAGCUGGUUGACCGUUGGGAGGCGGAGGAGGCUCGGAGGGAUGGGUGCGAGGAGCACAUGGCCGAGCUAUGAGAGGAGCUGCAGGCCGUGAUCAAUGAGACCCUCGAGGCACUAACCCAGCGUGAUGCUAGGCGAGAGGUUGAGGCCGAGUAGCUGCGACCGGAGAUGAGCGAGCUAAGGCUCGAGCUCGAAGCUUGCAAGGCACUCCUUGGUGGAGGAUUGCUGGCCGUACAGCCGUCUAGCAAAGUGGACAUCCCCAAACCGAAGGAGUUCAAGGGCCAACGGAAUGCCCAAGACUUCGACAAUUUCGUGUGAGGGAUGGAGUAAUACUUCCGGGCCACUAACAUUGCCGAUGAUGGUAAAAAAAUCAGCACUGCUUCGAUGUAUCUUACUAACUUGGCGUGUUUGUGGUGGCGCAAGAGGUGUGACGAGAGGCACGGUGGAGCAGCCAUUUUGACGUGGGCUGACUUUGUGCGAGAGUUGAAGGCACAAUUCUACCCCGAAUAUGCGCAAGAUGAGGCGCAGGGUAAAUUAAGACGUCUAACGUAGUAAAGGGGAGUUCGGGAAUAUGUGAGGGAGUUCACCGAACUCAUGCUGCAAAUCAACGACCUAAGAGAGCAGUAGGCCUUGUUUUGUUUCCUUGAUGGGCUAAGGCCGUGGGCAAGACAGGAGCUCUAACAUCGAGGGGUCCAAGACAUCACUGUUGCGAUGGCUGCAGUAGAGUCCCUGAUUGAGUUUCGCAAGGGGGAUGCAGAGAAGGAUGCGAGGAAAGGCAAGGCCAAGGUGAAUGCUACUGCCAAGCCGCUGUAGAGGGGCACUACCAGCGGGCAAGGUAGCAUGCGGGGUACUAAGCAAGGCAACCGUGCGGAGGAUAAGGGCAGGAGGGCCCUGACAUGUUUUCUGUGUGACAGACCACAUGUGGUCUGAGACUGCCCCAAGAGGGCUAAGCUAUCUGUCAUCAUCCAAGAGGGGGAAAAUGAGGGGCAACAGUAGCGAGAUUCUUUGAGAUUGGGCACCAUGAUGCUGGCAGCACUGAAACAGCACAAGCCGAGUCGUAGCAAAGGCCUGAUGUUUGAGGACAUAAUGGUGGUGGGCAAGAAAUUGAAUGCGCUGGUUGACACGGGAGUAAGCGAUCUGUUUGCAUCGGUCGAGACAGCCAAGAUGCUGGGGUUGGACACCAAGGCUGGGGUAGCGAGCAUUAAGACUGUCAACAGUAAGGAGGUCCCCACCGUUGGCAUCGUAAGCAACAUGGAUGUGCGGCUAAGUGAGUGGGUCGGUAAGGAAACCAUCGAAGUUAUUCCUUUGGAUGAUUAUGAUUUUGUGAUUGGUUUGGAUUUUCUUGAUCGAAUAAAUGGCAUGGUUGUCCCAUUCUUGAGCUACAUUGUGAUCCUUGACCCGCGGGGUCAAUGUGUGGUGCCAGUGAGGCACGGGCAGCAAUCUGUGACCACGACGCUGAGCGCCAUACAACUAACGGAUGGUGUGCUUAGGGGCGAGGAGACCUUUGUAGCCACGCUGUCCCUGAGAGAGGGCGAGCCGAGCGAGGCAGCACCUGUGCAGAGUGAGGUAGCGGACGUGUGGACCAGUAUGCGAAUGCCAUGCUGGCCAAGCUCCUUGCCGCCUGAGCGCGAGGUGGACCACAAGAUUGAGCUUGUGCUGGGGCACAGCCACCCGCGAGGGCAACUUACCAAAUGGCACCCCCAAAGCUAGCCGAAUUGCGAUGGCAGCUUACGGAGUUGAUUGAGGCAGGCUUCAUUCGGCCAAGCAAAGCACCCUAUGGUGCGCCUGUCCUCUUCUAGCGGAAGCACGAUGGGACGCUGCGGUUGUGCAUCGACUACCGAGCACUCAACAAGCUAACCAUCCGAAACUACUAUUCGAUCCCCAACAUCUCCGAGCUAUUCGACCAGCUAAGUGAGGCUCGGGUCUUCUCCAAACUUGACCUGCGGUUCGGGUACUACCAGGUGAGGAUUGCCGAGGGGGACCAAGAGAAGACUGCCUGCGUGACGCCCUACGGCAGGUUCGAAUUCCUAGUUAUACCCUUCAGCCUAACCAACGCCCCCAAGACGUUUUGCACGUUCAUGAACAAGGUAUUGUCAUCUUUCCUUGAAAAAUAUAUGGUCGUAUACCUUGAUGAUAUUGUCGUUUAUAGCAGGACCAUGACGGAGCAUGUGGGGCACUUACGAGCUGUGUUUGAGCGCCUAUGGCAACACCAACUGUACGUAAAGCGGGAGAAGUGCUGCUUUGCUCAAUCGGAGAUCCCCUUCCUCGGCCACAUCAUUGGGGGAGGCCGAAUUAGGAUGGAUGCAACCAAAGUCUGAGCUAUCAACGAAUGAGAGUAGCCCACCAGAGUGACCGAGCCGCUAAGUUUCUUAGGACUAGCCAACUACUACCUCAAGUUCUUACGGGGCUACUCGAACAUCGCAGCACCCUUGACCGACUUGCUGCGCAAGGACGACACAUGGCGAUGGAGUACCGAGUGUGAGUAGGCGUUUUAGCGACUGAAACAGGCGAUGAUCGAGGAGCCUGUGCUGCGCCUGCCAAACCCGAGUGUGCGGAAUGAGGUGCACACUGAUGCGUCGAACUAUGCCAUAGGUGAGGUGCUCAUGCAGCAAGGCCACCCAGUGGCAUAUGAGAGUCGAAAGCUCAAUGACACCUAACGGCGCUACACGGCUCAAGAGAAAGAGAUGACAGCGGUAGUGCACUGCUUGAGGGUGUGGCGGCACUACUUGCUAGGGGCACGGUUCGUGGUGAAGACAGACAACAUAGCUAACAACUUCUUUCAAACCCAAAAGAAGUUGACCCCCAAGCAAGCUAGGUGGCAGGUGUACUUGGCAGAAUUUGACUUCACCUUGAAGUACAAGCCGGACGCCACCAAUCGGGUUGCUGAUGCCCGAGCUGCAAGGCAGAACUGGCAGCCAUCAGCCAGGCGCAGGAUGAGUUGCUGGCCAGGAUUUGUGCGGGGCUUGCGAGAGAUGCCACAGCACAGGCCAUCAUCAAGUGUGCUAGGGAGGGAAAGACACGACGAUUUUGGGUCGAUGGGGACCAGCUCAUGACCAAGAGAACUCGAGUCUAUAUGCCAAAGACCGAGGGGCUAUGCAAGGAGAUCAUGCGGGAGCACCACGAUUCCUUGUGGGUGGGACAUUCAGGCACCGAGCGAACUAAGGCAUUGAUCGCGGCACGCUACUACUGGCCCAAGCUGUCCGAGAAUGUUGAGACUAUUGUGCGGACAUGCUUGGUCUGCCAACAAGACAAGGGCGAGUAGCAGCAGCCAACAGGCCUGCUCGAACCCUUAGAACUUUACAUGAAAAAGCUCGCGGCAUGUCACUUAAAGAACUCUUCAAAAGCUAGAGAAAGACAUGACACAAGUCAAAGUCAUAAUACAAGCAUAAGUUAAAAAAAAAAAAAACCCAAGUAAAAAGCUUACCAAAACACAAUAAAAGUCAAAGUCAAUUUAUAUUAAAAUAAAUAAAUAAAUAAAAAAAUAUAUAUAUAGAAAGACAUGCCGUUCAUUUUGUUAGUUUUUAUGCAAAACAAAAGACAAGUCAAAGUCAAAUUAUAUUAAAAAAAUGAAUUUCUUUUGCUUAGUACUUGCAACACUCCAAAGGCCAAGAAACGCAUCUUGUGCUGUUAACAAAUAAAAAAAAAAAGCAACAAAAAGCUGAUAUACAUCAGCUUUUAUUCACCUCUCUUUACUUCAGUUUUUAUUUGUUUCUUUAUUUUAAUGUUUCACAUGGAAGAAUUAUACUUCAAAACAAAAAGAAGAUUCAAAAGGAAAACAAUCAGAGCAUCAAAAACAAGCUUUUAAGGCAAAAAAUCAAUUCAAUAAAAAAAAAUUUUUUUUCCUUGACAUGCUUGCUUGAAUUAUUUUACAUCAUGACUUGAAACAAAUCCUUGAUUUACCCAGAUAAUUUUCUUCCAAACAUAAAUAAUUCUUAUUUUGAACUUUAAAAAAAAAUCAAACAAUUUACCUGUCUAUUUAAAUAUAUACAUAAAAAAAAAUCUCUUUUAAUUAAAAAACUUCAUCUCAUGCAUGAAUUUUUUUUAAUUAAAAACAAAAUUCAUGCAGGGGGCAACAAAAUGUAAGCAAAAGAAAUUCAAUUUUUAUUCAAAUUUUUUUGAAAAGCAAGAAAAAUAUAAUAAAAAUAAAGAGAGAGAGCAAACAAAAAUUACAAGAAGAAGAAAAACUUACUUAUUUGAAAAGAUUCGCAAAAGAAUCGACUUUGCUCUGAAAUUUGUUUUGCUUUAUUUUGAAUAUGAAUGAAGAAAAUUGUUCAUAAUAACUUGAUAUUUAUAAGUCACAUAGAAUCAAAGUUUUUAUGAAAAAGAUAUUAAAUGUUAUUGCAUAAUCAAUAAAAUAUUAGAAAUAGAAUCAAGGUUUUUUAUAAAAAAGAUAUUAAAUAUUAUUACAUAAUCAAUAAAUAUUACAAAAAUAUUGACAANNNNNNNNNNNNNNNNNNNNNNNNNNNNNNNNNNNNNNNNNNNNNNNNNNNNNNNNNNNNNNNNNNNNNNNNNNNNNNNNNNNNNNNNNNNNNNNNNNNNNNNNNNNNNNNNNNNNNNNNNNNNNNNNNNNNNNNNNNNNNNNNNNNNNNNNNNNNNNNNNNNNNNNNNNNNNNNNNNNNNNNNNNNNNNNNNNNNNNNNNNNNNNNNNNNNNNNNNNNNNNNNNNNNNNNNNNNNNNNNNNNNNNNNNNNNNNNNNNNNNNNNNNNNNNNNNNNNNNNNNNNNNNNNNNNNNNNNNNNNNNNNNNNNNNNNNNNNNNNNNNNNNNNNNNNNNNNNNNNNNNNNNNNNNNNNNNNNNNNNNNNNNNNNNNNNNNNNNNNNNNNNNNNNNNNNNNNNNNNNNNNNNNNNNNNNNNNNNNNNNNNNNNNNNNNNNNNNNNNNNNNNNNNNNNNNNNNNNNNNNNNNNNNNNNNNNNNNNNNNNNNNNNNNNNNNNNNNNNNNNNNNNNNNNNNNNNNNNNNNNNNNNNNNNNNNNNNNNNNNNNNNNNNNNNNNNNNNNNNNNNNNNNNNNNNNNNNNNNNNNNNNNNNNNNNNNNNNNNNNNNNNNNNNNNNNNNNNNNNNNNNNNNNNNNNNNNNNNNNNNNNNNNNNNNNNNNNNNNNNNNNNNNNNNNNNNNNNNNNNNNNNNNNNNNNNNNNNNNNNNNNNNNNNNNNNNNNNNNNNNNNNNNNNNNNNNNNNNNNNNNNNNNNNNNNNNNNNNNNNNNNNNNNNNNNNNNNNNNNNNNNNNNNNNNNNNNNNNNNNNNNNNNNNNNNNNNNNNNNNNNNNNNNNNNNNNNNNNNNNNNNNNNNNNNNNNNNNNNNNNNNNNNNNNNNNNNNNNNNNNNNNNNNNNNNNNNNNNNNNNNNNNNNNNNNNNNNNNNNNNNNNNNNNNNNNNNNNNNNNNNNNNNNNNNNNNNNNNNNNNNNNNNNNNNNNNNNNNNNNUAGUAAUAUAUAUACAUAUAUAUUGUUGGAUAUUUUCAAUAAUAAUAAAUGAAAGACAUAAUUUUACAUUGAAAAAAUAAAAUAAAGAAGAGUUUUCUUCAAAUAAAGAGGAAAUAAAAUUUAAAGUAAUUUACAUACUCGAACAUUUGGUUCAUUGAUUGAUACAUAAUCUCUUAUCUAAAAAAUAAAGUUUGAAAUUCCUUUCUCCUAAUUAAUAAAAAUUUAAAAUAGUUUGACUAAAAUGGGUUAAAGUCCAAAAUAAACAAUAAAUGAGCUUUGUAAGACUUGGUUGGUUUUGCAAUUAAUUAAAUUAAUAAUAUAUUAUAAUGACAUUUGGACACAUGGCACUUUUAAUUUAUUUUUAAAUUACCAACACAGAAGUGUUUCUGCAAUCAAUAAUUAUAACUGUUGAAAACAGACAAUCAUGUCUAUAGAAACAAAUAGUCAUGUUUGUUGAUUUAAGGUAUGCUUUCGAACUAAAACGAAAAAAAAAAACAAUGCUUUUAAAACUAUAUAUAUAUAUGAUAUGUAUGAGCAUUUAAAGGUACAAUUGCAAUAUGAUAUUUCGACCAAUAUUACAGGCAAGCAAUGCAACUAUCAAAACUUUGAUGGAUGGAUCAAGCUCAUUCUUUUUAUUAUUAUUUCAUUCUUUUUAUUUUAGUUUCUUUUUCACUUUUUUGUCAACGUUUUUAACACUUUUUACUGCUUUAGAUUGGGAAUUUCCUAGUGAGCAAGCUUUCCGCUAGGCUAAUGGGUCAAAGACGGUAGAAACACAAUUUUUUUUUCUUUUCGGUCCUUUAUUGUAUGAAAGCGCGUUGCUCAUCUUUCUUUUCAUUUCGGAGGAAACUACAGCAAAGACCAUUUGCAUGGACUCAUUGAAAGAAUAUAUCCAAUAAAUCAACAAGAAAAACAGCUCUAUCUAUCCAUUUUGCGCUCUCAUCUCAUGGCUUCCUUUUCCCUCCUUCCACUUACUUGCGGUAACCAAAUAACCAAGUGGUUUCAAGUUUAAAUUAAUACUGUGAUUGAUGUGAGUAUUUAUAUAUAAUGCAAGAGUGUGCCUCUCGGAUCAGAAGAUAAUUGAAUGAGUAAAGUUUAAACUUAAGCAUGCAUUACAUUGAUUUAAACUGGAAGCACUAUUAUCCACCUAUCUUUGUGUAUUUGCUGCUGACGUUUAUCAAAUAGGAAAGUUUUUUUUAUGUUUAUCAAAUUAGUAAGCACUAAUAUAUAUAUAUUGUAUAUGCAAAAAUAAAAAAAAUUAGAAAUUAAGUAGCAUGCAUGCUUGCAUCUAAAUUUUUAUCAACAAAAUACAUGAACAAGCAAAAAAAGUAGAAGAACUUACCUCAUUAUUUUUGAGCAUACCUAUGCCAGGAGAUUUCAGGCUUUUUACAAAUCAAGCAGUCCCAAGUGGGACUAGUAUGUAUAAACUCUAGACACGAGGCCAGACUCACUACUUCAUCUUGUUUCACUGAUUCAGGAAGAGUGCUACUGAAAAGGCCAUUCUGUAGUUCCAGUAUAGCACUAGAAUGAGCCAUGGGCCAAUUCCAAUUCCCUUCUCUUAUUAAGACAUCAGUAAUUUCAGUUUUUCAUAAAUGAGGCUUCUGCCAUACUUGCUAAGCAAAGGGCCACUAGAAUGCCAGUUAUCAUGCCACAAGAAAGUAGUUUCGCCAUUCCUUGUAGAAUAGCUUGAGUAAAGACCUGGCUGUAUCCAUCCCUCAACUUCAAGAUCUUCCUCCAAUGCCAGCUACAAAUAUUUAGAGUUUUGACUUGCCAAAAGCUCUUGUUUAAGAAGGUACAUACCCACCCAAGCUGCACAAACAGAGCCUUUUUAAAAGGAUAACUAAAUGAAAUUUUAAAAGAUUUUUUUAAUUAAAUUAUUGUUUUAUAUAUCAACAAUAAUAUUAGAAUGUUAAUAUAUAUUUAUUUAUUAAUUUUUAUUUGAUUUAUUAAUUUCUUUAAAUAUAACCUAAUCAGAGAGGAUUAAGGAAUCUUGAAACCCUACCUAUGGAAUUUAAAUGGUCAUAUAAUAGUAAUUCUUUUAAAUUUUUGCAUAAGAUUCUCCAAGAAAAAUGAAAAUUAGAUUUUUUCGUGUUAGUCAGAUGGCUUCCCCCCUUCUCAAAGGCCCAAAACAGAUGACAAUCCUUACCUUAGGUGUAGAAUUAUGAUCCAAAUUCAGAAUUAUUUUGACCCAAGAGUUUUCAGACCUUCAAUGGUUAGGCGUUCUUCUUUGGGAAAAACUUAAGCUUCCUCCCUUUUUGGCUCAUAUUUCCAUGAUCUUCAUUUCUCUUUGCAUCUCAAUGCUCUCAAAAUCUCUAAAUUACAAAACACACCCCUUCACUAUCAUAGGGCAGCUGAAGCAAAAAGAAGUUCAAAAGAAAACAUUAUAGUCAGACAAGGUUUAAAAAGGGUUCAAGGCGGUUGCUGCUUCCCUUUCUCUAUAUUACUUGACUCUCUCUAUGAAUUUUAUUUUUUCUUCAGAUGUUAUUUUCUCAAACCCAUUUGCUCUUCUCUCAAAAUUUGCCUAAAAAUCCCACUUAAUUUUCAGUUUCACCACUUAUUUAAUAAUUUGUUGGUGCAAAUGGGUUUAGAUGGAAUUUAAGAACUGGCAAAAUGGACUUCAAGGCAAGCCUUUUAAUGGACUCUAUCUUUAAGACUUAUUUAGUCCUCACCACUCAGUAUGUAAAGGGGAAAAUGCGAAUAACCUUAGGGAUACAAUGAAGCCAACAUCUAACUUUGUCUUUCACUUUGCAAGAGUAGACCGUUAGAUACACCAGAGGGUUUACAAAGUUGUUCAGCCUUAGAGCCUACUUUCUGCAGCAAGUAGAUUAUAAGAAAUUUGGAUGUUUUUAUAGUUGAUGGAAACUUAAGUGUUUAUGUUAAUAGAACAAAACACUUUUCUUGCUCUUGAUUUAUGUGCUCUUGGUUUGUUUUUGAUUUGAUGUUUCAAAAUGGUUGACAACAAGCCCUUUAUACAGGUUUGCAAGUAUCUCUUCUUCAAGGACACAACUCUUUCAUUAAGGCACCAUUUUAUCUAAAAGACAUCUUUACAUUUUGCAAGACACAACAUUUGGAUAAAGGUAUUGUUUCAAUAAUCAUCUUAUGAAAAGACAACUAUUCAUUUCAUAAAACAUAAUCUUUGACUUAUAAUUUGAAAUAAUAACUUUCCAUAUUUAACUGUUGAGCGAUGGUGUUUUUUUUAUUUGUCUCAUAACAGUUGGAUGUUAUUUUACCAAGAGACAUAACCACUCAAAUGAAAACCUACCUACAAUCCAAUAGUCACUUUAUGUAACUUUAUGUGACAUAACCUUUGUGCUAAGAUAGCUUUUCAUUAUAUGAUAUAAUCUUUGAUUUUGAAAAUACACCAACAAUCCCCUACCAUUUUCAAAAUUUCCAAAUACUAACAACUUUAGAAAUUUUGUGCAUAAAUGAAGGUAUCUCGCAGAUUUGAACCUUUACUUAGUAAAUAUGGUUGGUUAUAGUUUGAAUUGAAUGGUUGACCAUGCAUUGAACUAUUGAUUCUUCAUUUGAUUAGUCGGGCCACUAAACACACAUAAGCUUCCUUGCCACUUUGGAUCUAGUUUUGCCAACACGUUUUAUGACCUUGUGUUUUGCAUUCAUGAGUGAGUGCUAUUAGAGUCAAGCUUUUAGCUCCUAGAAGCGGCCACACUUCCACUCACAUAGGUAGCUUCUAUCAAAAGUACUCCGUAAUUAUAGUACUUCAAUAUAUACAUGUUAUGGGUCUAUUAAGAACUUUUGUUUAACCUUACCUUACGCAUUACGGUAACCAAGCAUUAUACACCUUGGGAUGAAGAAUAUAAAUUAGUGCUUGCAAUCAUCCAUGUAGUAGAAUGGUUAGCACCCAAGACUUGCAAGUCAACCACAUGCGUCGAGGUGAGCUCCCACCAUUGGAGAUUUAGUUGAUAGGCUUGAGACCCAUCCCUCCUGAGGUUUUUAUUACCAAGUCCUUUUAGACUUUUAGUAAACAGAUCUGCUAAAUUUUCACAAGAUCUCCCAUAAAUUAUAGUGACUAUACCAUCACUAAUUCAUUGUCUUACAAUGCUAUGUCGAAGUCCAAUAUAUUGACUCUUUCCAUUGUAUGCUUGAUUAUAUGCCUUUGAUACAAUUGCUUCAUUAUCACAAUAUAUCAAGAUUAGUGCCAUUGGUUUAGGCCACAACGGAAUUUCAUAGAGCAAAUCUCUCAACCAUUCCGCUUCUUGGGUGGCAGAUGCUAAAGCUAUAAAUUUAGCCAUCAUAGUGGAGUUUGUUUGACAAGAUUGUUUCUUAGAACCCCAAGAAACAACACCCCCAACAAGUCUAAAAAUCCAACCAGUUGUAGAAGUAUGAUCCAUUCUAUUUGAGUUCCAACUAGCAUCUGUAUACCCUUUUAAAACUUAAGAAAAACCUGAAUAACAAAUGUCAUAAUUCUUUGUACUCUUUAAGUAUCUUAGAACUUUAUGAACAACAUACCAAUGUUCUUUACUUGGUUUACUUGUAAAUUGACUUAGCAUUUCAACCGUAAAAGCAUUAUCUAGCCUUGUACAGACCAUAGCAUACAUUAAGCAUCCAAUCAUCUUUGCAUAUUCAUUUUGUUCUAUUGGCUUGUCUUUGUUAGGUACAAGCUUUAGAUUAGAAUCAUAAGGCGUAGACAUUGGCAUACAAUCUGACUUACCAUAUUUCAUUAUAAUCUUUUUAAUGUAAUGAAAUUGAGACAAUGUUAGGCCAUUAUUGUCUCUCGUUAUUCUUAUACCAAGAAUAAUAUCCGCCACACUAAUAUUUUUAUGUCAAAAUUAUGUGACAAGAACCUUUUUGUGUUCUCCACUUGUUUUAAACUAGUACCAAAGAUUAACAUGUCAUGUACAUAUAAACAAAUGAUGACACAUCUACCAUUAUGGAACUUACUAUAGACACAUUUGUCAGAUUGAUUGAUUUGUAACCGUUAGCUAGCAUAACUUCAUCAAACUUUUGAUGCCAUUGUUAGGCACUUGUUUUAAUCCAUACAAGGACUUUACAAGCUUACAUACUUUCCUUUCUUGACCAAGAAAGACAAACCCUUCAAGUUGUUCCAUAUACACCUCUUCAUCUAACUCACCAUUUAGGAAUGCUGUUUUAACAUCCAUCUGGUGAAUUACCAUCUUAUGUAUAAAUGCAAGUGCUGUAAGCACUCUAAUUGUAGCUAUUCUUGCUACCGGUUCAUAUGUAUCAAAAUAAUCAACACUUUUAUUUUGUUUAAAGCCUUUUGCCACUAGCCUUACUUUAAACUUAUUUACGGUUCCAUCAAUUUUCAUUUUCUUUUUGAAAAUCCACUUAUAGCCUAUUAGCUUGGAACUUGGUGGAAGGUCUACCAAUUUUCACGUUUUAUUUCCCAUUAUCGAGUGCAUCUCAUCUUGUAUUGCUUCUCUCCAAAAUGAAGCAUCCCAAGACUUUAUUACCUCCUCAUAAGUUUAAGGAUCAACUUCACCUUCUACAUUAAAACAGUAAGGUAAGUAUUCACAUGUUUGUUCUCUUGUACCUUCUACUAAGUACAUGAGAAAAUCAAAUCCAUAUGUCUUUGCUUUUUUAAUUCUUUUACUUUUUUGAAGCUCAAUGGUUUUCUCACCAUUUUCUGAAAGUUUAUUGCUUUUUGUUACUAGUUUUUUGGGUCUUGGAAUUGAAUUGAACCUUGUUUCAUCAAAUAUAACAUCUCUUGAUUCUAUAAUUGUAUUAAUGGAAUAUGAAUCAUUGGGCUCUAUCACUAUGAAAUGAUAUGCUUUACUGUGUUAAGCAUAUCCUAUAAGUAUACAUUUAAUUCAUUGUCAUCCAAUUUCCUUUUCUUUUAUUUUGGAACUUUUACUAUAGCUCGACAUCCCUAAACUCUUAAAUAAUUAAGGUUUGACUUUCUUCCUUUUCAUAGCUCAUAAAGAGUAGUUUUACUCCUUUUGUUUAGGAUUCUAUUUAGUAUAUGACAAGCCGUUAAUAAGGCUUCGCCCCAAAAUCCUUUCCCCAAACCUAAAUUAGAAAGCAAAGCAUUGACCAUUUUUGUAAGAAUUCGAUUCUUACGUUUUGUUUCACCAUUUUGUUCUAGUGUGUAUAGAGCAGUAAUCUCAUGAAUAAUACAAUAAACUCAAAAUACUUGGGAUCAUAAUAUUCACCUAUUCUAUCACUUCAUAAACAUUUGAUAAGCAAUUCACAAUACAAUUCAAUUUCAUUUUUAUAAAUUCUAAAUUUCUUCAUUGCUUCAUCUUUAGUAUGCAAUAAGAAAACAUAGCAAUAUCUAGAAAAGUCAUCUAUAAAUGUUACGAAGUAUUUCUUUUCACCAAUAAAUGGAGUACUAUGCAUGUCACAAACAUCAUAAUGUAUUAAUGCAAGUAAUUUGGAGUUUCUUUCUACCUUAGGAAAUGAGCUUCUUGUGACAUAACCUUUGAGCUAAGAUAGCUUUUCAUUUUGUGACAUAAUCUUUGAUUUUGAAAAUACAUCAACAUAAUUUGAUGUCCAUCAUCAAAACCCCCUUAAUUUCUUCUAAUCUUUUAGACAAAUUCGAUCAUUUUGUUCCCUUUGAUAAUAGAAAUCCCUCAAUUCUUGACCAGAACCCUCCAAAGAUUGAUUGUUUCAAGCCCACGACAACAACGGUCUGAAUAGGGAAAAGUCUACUAAUUGAGGUUGUAUUUUAUUUCACUUCAUUUAAUUUGAUUGGUCAAUAGGGUUGUUGGAGUGAUAGGAAAAAGCCUAAUGUUUUUUAGUAAUAUUUUAGAGUGAAAAUAGGAAAUCAAUUUAAUGAGGGGAAUUGUGUAUCAUAAUUAGUCACCCUUUUGAAUUAAUAAAUCCAUCAUUUUACUUUCCCAUGCUCUUACCUUAUUUCUGUGUUUGUAUAGGGAAAUGUGCAUGUCUGUGUAUGCCAGUGCAUGCAUAAACCUUAUUUAUGCAUUUUUUUAUUAAUGUUUUCAUAAAAUGAAAUAGUUUAUUAUCAAACAUGUCUACUUUAGAAUGAUAAUGUUGAAUUGAACAUGCCUGUGAUGGAUUGGCUGGAUUUGUAUUUUAUUUUCCAAGUGACAAAAAAUGUUGAAGUUUGCCCUCCUUGUAUGUUUUUGGUAUUGUUAGGCAUGUUAUGGUGCUAUGUUUGGUAUUCUCUCCAUUUGUUGUACAAGCAAGCAACAAUGGAGUACAUGCAUUUAAAUUAUCUAAUAUAGCAUCAAUAUUUAAGAUUAGCACAGUGUAAUGAAGCUUUAUGGUGUUCUUUUUUUUUUUCUCUCUUUAAAGGGCUUUAAGUUGUUAUUAGCAUUUCAUGUUGAUGUUUAGACAUAGAAUAAGUUGGAUUUUUGUAGGAUUCUUGCAAAAUUUAUAGAUUUCAUGUUGAUAUAUAGUAGUGAGGUGUCUUGGUGCCUCACAUGAGUGUGAUUGAGUACACUUCUGAAUUGCAGAGUCUCUCUGCAACUACUAGCUAAUAGCUAUAAGAGAAAUACAUUUGUCGAUUAAAUCUUAUAAUCAUUGUUUUUUGUUUACAUUCCAUUGUGCAGUCAGCAUGAGUACUCAAAUCUGUGUGCCAUUAGAAAACUUCAUCUUGAUGUUCAGUGGCAGAGUCAAGAUUUUACAUUUAAGGGGACGAAAAAUAAAAAAACAAUGUUUAUAAAUUAAACAUUUAUAUUAGAAAUUCAAUGUUUAACAAUAAUAUAAAACAAUUUAGACAAAAAAGUUCAUAUGAAAUUAUACAAAUAAAUCCUGAAAAUUAUUCAAAGGAAUAAAUUUUAAUAAUUUACUUAAAAGAAUUAACUAGUAUAAUCAUAAAUAGUUUAAUGAUGAGAAUAAUCUCAAUUUCUAGAUAAACUUAGCAACAAACAAAAAUUAACAAACAUAAUAACAAAAAUCUCAAUGGGAAGCAAUCCCUUGAAACAUAUUAAGGACUAUCAAUAAACAAUUCAAUGGAGAAGCAAUUUUCUAAAAUUAAUCACAAAAAUUAAAUACACUAUUAAUAAACAAUUCAAUGAGUAAGCAAUCCUUGAAUAGCAAACUUAAUUGUUCAUAAGAAUUUAAGAAAAAAAAACACAAUUAAUUUGUAGGAAAACAAUAAAGCAAUCCCUAAAUAAAUAAGUAAUAACUAAUCUUAAGUGCUUAAUCAAAUUGCUUUUGACAAAAAAUAGCUAAGAUGGUAAAUCCUAAAUCAAAAUCAUCAAGUAAAAAUUAUUAAGUAAAGAAAAAAAUUUAAAGUAAAAAAUGAUAAAAAUAAAAUAAGUAAAUAAACCAAUCUUAUCGAUUAUCAUGAAAUGAAAAUUAAGUUAUUGACUAAAAAGAAUGCUGACAAGCAAAAAGUGUAAAAAAAUUAUUUUUUUGUUUGUACAGUAUUUGGUAAAAAGAAAAAAGAGCAAGUGAUGGUUGUGAGGUUUUAGAGAAGUGAGGUUUGAAAAUAAUUCUAUUGCAAUUGGUUUUAUUUUUUUUUUUUAAAUGCAAUUGGUUUUGUUUUAGUCCUAUUAAAAUUAGUUACUGACUAAUUGUUGUGCGAUAUUUCACUAAAUAUAAAAUUAUUGUAGGAAUAAAAUUAUAAAAUUUUCAAAAAAAAGUCAAAAAAAUUUUAAAAUUUUUGUAGGGGAGAAAUUAUAAAAUUUUUAAAAAGUAAAGGCAAAUUAUAAAAAAUUAAAAAUUAUUGAAGGGGAGAAAUUAAAAUAUUUUUUAAAAAAUACAAAUAAAUUAUAAAAAUUUAACCCUCCCGCCUACCUUUGCAUCUGAACAUUUCGCAGCAAAUAGUUUAUGUGUGAAGUGAUAAUCAUCUUCACAAAACCAUAGCAAAAUAUUUUAACUAAAAAGAGAAUUGUUGUUAAAGGCAUUUUUUAGCAGAAAAUAGUUUACAUAUUUUGCGUCAAGUCUGCAUUCUCCUUCUCUUCAAUCUGAAAUUUUUUAUUUAUUCUUAUUUUUUGGUUUUGGUUCAGAAAAUAGAAAUGGAGUUUAUUUUUAUUGUGCGGGACUUACAGUGUGAGAUCUACCAAGGGAGAGGGGAAUGCGUCGAAGGAGGAAAGAGAGAAAGGACGGAGAUAUUGAAGAGCAGAGAAGUGUGAGGAACCACAAAUUAGUGAGAGAAAGAAAAGAAAGGAGGGCAAAGGGGAAACUUUUUUUAAUGGAUCAAAUAAAGUAAGACAUCGUUGAGAAUACGCCUCUCCUGGAAAGCAGACACUUGAAUCAAAAGAAAUUAAUAAGGUUCCACUCAUCUAUCCUCCGGUUCUUCACCCUCUGAGCUAAAGUCUUCCGCUUCACCUUUGAAACGUUUAGGCUCUGGUUCAUCUUCAUCGCCAAUGCUUAAACUUCUUUUGCGCUUCGAGUCUGCAUCCUCGUAGAAUACAUGGACACCAAAUUUCUUCACAAAGAUAUUAAUAUCUCUAGAUCCGCCAAAUAAAUCACCUACCCGGUAGAAAUCAAAUGAUGCCUCCUCAUAUAGCUUGUCUUUCAAAAACAUGCCACUGCCAUCAAAAACAAUUAACACGCGAUCUGGGUGCGGCAAAUCUACCGGAUCAUCACAAAUCCCUGACCACCCAAAUUUGAAACUACGAUCGUCAUCAUCGUCUAUGCUUUUAAGUUUGCAUUUGCCUUUAAAAAAGAAUUCCUGGUGGUCUUUAAAAAAGAAUUCCUCGUGGUUUUCAUCAGUACAGUGAAUCACAAUGCAUAUAGCAAAACACAAGAAUCUCCUACGACACCUAUUUGGAUGUAGCUUGACAGUAAUGGAAGAGUUUGGGCUCUGUUGCUCAAACCUUUCUGGUAUUUCACUUCCAGGAAAACAACAACAACAUUCUAGGUCUCCUGAUCCACGAGGAAACUCCUUUGACAAUUGCUUUGCCAAGCAGUGAAUUCUGAGCAGUUCAUUAGCUACAAUGUUGUUGAUUGCAUUAUGAUUCAGGUUGAAGCAAUGAUCAAAGCUGAAGUAACCAUGAUAGCUCCCAACGAAUCUAGUUUGAUUGUGAUCUGCGAACGAUACUUCUUUUAAUGAUGUGCAGCCUUCGGCAGACAUAUAUAUUAGACUCGGUGGAAGCUCUGGCAAUGAUUUAAGGUAUUUGCAAUUACUCACGGUAAGGACUUCAAGGCUUUUAACGACACCGCUCGGUAGUUUUUGAAUCCUUGUGCCGUCCAUUUCUAAUGUCAGCAACAUUAAGCUCGAUAAGUUCCUUGGAACUUCUGGGAAUUCGGCGAAUGGGCAACCAAUGAGAUAUAGACUUCUCAAAGAGCCCAGCUUAUAGAUAUUGCUGGAAACAUUUUUAACCUUCGAGCCACCCAUGUGCAACUCUCUAAGUUGGAGGAGAUGCUCAACCGAAUCAGGCACUUCUUCUAUCCCAGUUCCAGUUAAAUACAAUGAAUCUAAAUGACACGGGACCUCAGGAAAUUUCUUGAGAUUACGACAGAACUGAAUAUAUAGUCCUUUGAGAGAUUUCAAAUGAUUCAGGCACGGAAGUUCAACCAAACUUCUGCACCUAUCAAGGUCUAAUAUUUCAAGGUUUGUGGCUUGUGAGAGAUUUGGGAUCCUGAUUAAAUUUCCAGACUCUCUAAGGGAGAGCACUCUUAAAUUCACAAGAUUCUGUGUAACAAAAAUGAAAUAUAACUAAAAUUAGUUUAUAUGAAGUCUCUAUUAAACUUUGGGCUAUAAUAAAAAAGAAAAACAAGUAGUAAAACAUAGGGUUAUAAUAAAUAUAAUAUUAGAGAUUAAUACCUGGUCUCCAUCCCAAAGUUGUUCAAUAUCGCUCUCAGGUAAUAUUAAUUGAACAAGAUUCUCUGGACAAAAAUUUGAUGGCACAGAUUUCAACGGGUACUUCUCCCAAUAAAAAUACCUCAGCUUAUCAGAUAGUGAUUUGAGACGUUGUGCAGGAAGCAGAAUCUUUUGCUUUCUAGAAUGCCGGUAUUCACUACUGUCAUAGAACUUGAUAAAUUUAAGAUGAAUCAUUCUCUUAAAAGCCGUAGCACGUAACUUUAUUGGCUCAACAAUAUUGGACAUGUUGAGGCACAUUCCUUCAAUUGAUUUAGUCCCCUAAAAUCAACCACAAAUCAGUAAGCAUAUUUAUAUAUAAAAAAUAGAGAUUAAGUAGCAUGCAUGCAUCCAAAUUUUUAUCAACAAAAUACAUGAACAAGAACAAAAGGUAGAACAAGUACCGAAUUUUUUUUGAGCACUUCAGACACAUCUUUGGAAGUCCAUAAUCGACUACGUUCUUCAGGCUUGUUGGAUUCUGAACGAACAACUUCCCUACCCAUUUCUUGUAGCAAAUCAUGCAUCCAAAGGGUGUUAGACUCAGCAACAUAUAAGAGGCUUCUAUCAAUGAGGUUGGUAAUUCCACCAAGAGCACUACCACUAUAACAACUGUCUAAUAUCUUUUCUACAUCGUCUCUAUUAUACCCUUUAAAGAAGCAUGCAAUAUCAAGAAAUAUGCACUUCUCUGUUUCAUCUAAUCCAUCAUAACUAAUCUUCAAAAUUUUUUGAAUUUUUUGGUGGGGAUGUUCUUUUAAUUUCUUCAUUUCACUUUCCCAGUAUAUUCUGCUCUUUUGAUAAAAUGCUGAACCCAAUACUUUGAGAGCUAAUGGAACACCUCUGGCAUAUUGCAAUACUCUGUUUGAUAGAUCCUUGAAAUCAUCGACUGGAUGGUUUUGCUUGAAGGCAGACAGAGAGAAAAGCUGAAGAGAGUCAUCGUAAUUUAAUUCCCGAACCUCAUAUAAUGCAUCAACAACUCCAUUCCUGAGGACUUGUUUAUCCUUAGAUGUUACAAUAAUUCUACUUCCUGGACCGAAGUGAUUGUGUUUAACACCUAACUUUUCUAGCUGUUCAACCUCACUAACAUCAUCAAGGACAACAAGAACUCUCUUAUAACGGAGUCUAUCAAUGGUGAAUGUGGAUCCUAUUCUGGGAGUACUUAUAUGGAGGUUUUUCUCUUCAAAAAUAUUGGAAAGAAGUUUAUCCCGUAGAGAAGUGAUUCCACCAGGUUCCCCUGACUCUUCCCUAACAUUUGCCAGGAAGUAGUGACUUUCAAACUGGGAAAAGACCUCAUCAUAAAUAGCUUGAGCAAGAGUUGUUUUGCCUAUACCACCCAUCCCCCAAAUUCCUAUGAUACGAAUGUUUUCCCUAUCACCAACGCAUAACGAGGAUUUAAUUUGCUCCAUUUGAGGACCUAUUCCAAUCAGUCCCUCACAAUCACUUGCAGACAUGCGAUUCAACUUCUUCAGAACAUCUUGAGCAAUAUCCUCAAUGAUUGUGGGCUCAUGCCUACCAAAUAAGCAAAAGGCGAGGAUGGUAACAAAAUAGAAUGAACCACAAAUGAAACUCAAUUGUCUAAAUAGAACCCGUUACAAUAAGACAAAUUCAUAGAUAAAAUAAGUUUCAAUUCAUAUGUUGAAAAAAAUGUAUACCAAAAGCAUCAAAUAAAGAGAUAGAGAAAAAAAAAAUAAAGAGAUAGAGAAAAAUAAGAGGAAUAUAAAUCAAGUGAAGCAGGAAGAGUAAGAAGUAUAAGGAGUACUCACUCAUCUUUUUUUAUAUGAAAGCCGCUUAAGUUACCAGCUUGAGUCAAAGCAUGUCUCCACUUCUGGACCUUGUCUAUCCUAUUCUUUUCAUGUUCAGCAAAAGCCUGUUGAAAACUCCCAGUCUGUUUCCGUACGUCUGAUGGGUCAACAUGGUAGAAAAUGGGCACCACGAGCAGUCCCUUUGUAUCCUUGAAUUCCAUUAUCUUGGAGAGUUCUUCCAAGCACCAUGAUGAAGAAGCAUAGUUUUUAGAAAAAACAAUCGCUGAAAUCGUGGACUCUUGGAUUGCUUUCAACAGCGCUGAAGAAAUUUCCUCUCCCCUUGGCAAUUCUUUGGAAUCAAUAUAAGUUCCAAUUCCUUUCCGUUGCAAAGCUUGAUCUAGGUAAGCGAGGAAGUUAUUGCGAGUGUCUUCGCCUCUGAAACUCAAAAAAACUUGGUGCUUUAGUGGACGAGAGGAAGAAGGAGAGGAAAGGGAAGCCAUCAGAGAGCAGAAAUUGGUUUUCUGCGAAUUCGAGUAGAAGCUGGGAUUAUUUAUAAUGGGGUAAUCGUAACUUCCUUGAAAGUUCAACGAAAUGCCUUGGCUUAUCAUAAAGGAGUAGAGCAAUUAAUAAUUGAGGAAAUUAUAAAAAAUAAUUUUUUUUAUAAGUUUAAUUUAAAAAUAUUAUUUUUUAUAAUUUUAACUAUUUUUAGUUAAUUUUUGACAUAAGUUAACAAUAAUAUUUUUUAAAUAAUUUCAGACAAAUUAAAAUGAUUUCAGUUUUCUUUAUCCUGCCAUCCAGAUAAAAAUUUUAAAAUUAAAUAUCGAUUUCUCUCUUUGAUCAAAUACUAUUUAUUUCGCCAUCCAAAGAUGACAUUAAGCUCUUUCUUAUUUUGUUUUAUUUUUUUAGAUGGUAGAUCUUGAAGUUUUUAAGGACAAUAAAUAGCGAUUUUGCCUCUUUAUGAUGAUUGCAGGCAACAUGAUAAAUUUGGUAAUUGGAUGUUUUCUGAUGAUGACUUGCUUUGAAACGUGUGUUGUAAUGGAGAUGUCUGUGUUGAUGAGUUGAAUUAAAUUGGUUAAAAUGAUAGGUUCAGGGAGAAGAAAUAGCUAAAGUACGUUUGAUGGAAUUUAUGAUAGUUUACGAUUUUGUUUUGUUUGGGAUGGGGAUGAUUGUUAAGCAUAUUUGUUGGGGAUUUUGAAUUGAAAUUGUUCAAAGAAUAUUUUGUAAAGGAAGUAUAUUUUGUUUUUGCAUAAGGGGAGUGAGCAAGACCCUCCUGAUUGGAAUUUAUUUGUUUUGCUUUGGAGGGUUAUGGAGUUUUGUACCCUAUCUUUCAUGAAAUGCACAAAUUCAUGGCUUAGCAAAAAAAAAAAUAUAUGUUUGAGGUUCUUGAGUUUAUUGAUUUAUUCAUAAAACCCUAAAGUUAAGGAGUUAAAAUUGAUUAGACUGGUUUUUAAGUAUUGCGAGAUUGAUUUUAGGCAUUACGUGACUUAAUCACUGCGUGAUUGAUUUUUAGGCAUUGCGUGAUUGAUUUUUAAGUAAUGCCUAAGUCACACAAUGCCUUACUAACUGGUCACACAAUGUCUUACUAACAAGUCACGCAAUGCCUAUCAACUAGUCACGUAAUGCUUUAUAAAAAUCUAGUUACGUAAUGCCCAAAGUCACUCAUGUAAUGUCCAAAGUCAGUACCUCAAUGCCUAAAAACUAAUCACAUAAUUCUCAAAAAUCACCAAAACUACUAUAUUUCAUUUAACAAAAUCAACAACUUUAAACGAUACACCAUAUUCCAUUUAACAACAUAAUUAACGAUUAUACCUACUUGACAAAGAAUGCUCAAAAUGUUCAAAAGUUUUUAUUCAUAUAUAAAAAAUCACUCUAAAAUGCUUUAAAAUACUCAAAACGCUAACAAGUUUUCUUCGUAUAUCAAAAAUCACUCUAAAAUGCUAAAAAUGUUUAAACGUUUUUCUUUCUGGUAAAGAAUAUUCCAGAGAUGAAUAGUUUAGCAAGGAAAGCUCAAAAAAUAUGUGUUGGUUUGAGACGUAGACCUAAACAUACUUGACUCGUAAAUAGGUUUCGAGUUGAGACGUGAAGCUAAAUAAAUAGGUUGAUUUUAUUAAGGGUAAUUUUGUUCAAAUUUUAAUUCUCUUAACUAAAAACAGUUAAAAUUAUAAAAAGAUCUAUUGUCAGAAAUACCUUAUACAUGAGGCCCAUUUAAAAAAAGAACUCUUAAUAAUUACUACCUAUUACCGUUGUCCCACGCGAUAUUGUAUGAAUUUUUUUGAAUUUGCCAUUGACAUAAAAUAAAUGAAGCACUUUAAAUUUAAUUUUAAAAUGCUAUUUUUUCAUUAAAAAAUAUUAUCUCAUUUUUAAUUUGAGAAAGAAGUUUUAUACAUAUGUUGCGAUCGUUGUUCACCAAGUGCUACAUGUUUUUCAAAGUCUUUUAAAAAGAAAUGAUAAAAUACCUUGAUUUUUUAGUGUUUUUGGAGAAGUAAAUAUAGACCCAUCUUGUAAUUUUUUUUUCCAAUUCAAUUGAUAUUAUUGUCUCAUUUAGGUCAUAAAAAAUUUUCAUGUAAAAUCAAUAACAAUACUAUAUAUUUAAUCAACGCCAUGGGUUUAUAAAGUACGUGGAUAUAUUUAUAUGAUUGAAUGAAUUGAUCAACAUUGGCCGAUUGACACCAAAGAAAUAAAAAAGUCAAGCACUUUAAAUUUUUAUAUAUAUUUAAAUUUUAUUUUUUCAUAAAAAAGUUUUUAAUUAUAUCCAAAUUAUUUUUAACAAGAUUUCACAUUGUUUUGACCAAAGACUUUAGGCUGUACAUAACCAUGUUGCCAUGUUCAGUUAUCAUUACAACUGAACCCCUAAAAAAACUUAUAAAGUUACACAAACAUUCCCUUCCCUUCCCUUCAUUCCAACAGGGAAAUAGAUCAUUUUUUGACUUGAACUUAAUCGGUCAGAUAAUAUUAUUUAUUAGUAAGUAAUUUAAUUUUAUCUUUUUUAAAAAAAUAUAUAUUUAAGAAUAUAAAAUAAGUAUUUAUUAUUUUAAUAAUAAAAUUGGGGUUUAGCUUUAAAAAUUGGAGGUCCCAUGCAUGGACCUAACUGACCUCCAACGCAAGGAGUAAAGAUUCCUUAAGCCUGGUCGUUGUGGAAAUUAACUAGAAUUGACGAAGGAUAAAAAGCGAUGGAGCCAAGCUGACAGCAAACAAUAUUGACCCCAACCUUGGGACCCAAAUCUUCACCUAUCACUCGUAAUUGAUAAUUCCGCAUGUUACGUCGUUAAAUAAAAAAAAGUUAUAAUUAUAAAAAAUUAACACUAGUAGCAAUUAUUUUUAAAUUAAUUUUUAAUAAUAAUAAAGAAAAAAGAUGAGCAAAAGUGCCAUCAAAGAAUAUUGCAGGCGAGGAAUGCAACUAUUAUAUUAAAACUUCAAUGGAUGGAUCAAGCUCAUUAUUAAUUAUUAUGAUUAUUAUUUUGAUUCUUUGUCACUCUUUUGUCAAUUAUUUUAGCACUUUUUACUGCUUUUGAUUGGAAAUUCCCUAGUGCUUGGAUAAUGGGUCAAAGACGCGUUGCUCCUCUUUCUUUGAAUGAAAAAUUAUAUUGCAAAAGAAUGGGCAUGCAUGUUGGAAGGUUGAAUUUGAUCAUUCCAAUAUCUCAAUUCAAUAGUUUUAGUUCUUUUACCUCAAUUUUAAUAUAUUUAGUUUUUUUUACUUUUAUUAAAAAUUAAUUUAAAGAUAAUUUAUAACCAUAUUAAAAUUUUACUUUCAAUUUGAAUGACGUGACACUUUGAUAGUGACACAAUUACAUGAUCCAUAUUAAUCUAAAAAAUAUCAUAUUUUAUUUUAAUUAAAUAAUAACUAAUAUUUUUUUGCAUUUUGAAAAAAUAAAAGCUUUUUGUAAAAGAAUAAAACUUUUUUUUAUACUGCAUUUGUCUUAUGGUAAAAAUAAUUCAAGUUGGCAUGUUCCAUCAUCAACAAAAAAAAAGUCGUACUAUAAAUGUUUAACAUUGUUAUUAAUUAUUUUUAAAUUGAUUUUUAAUAAGAAUAUUAGAUUAAAUUCAAUAAAAUUAGAUAAAAAGAUUAAAAUAACAAAAUUAAGAUAAUAGAGGGACAAAUUCAAAUUUCAACUCACAAUUAACACAAGAAUAUAUAUGACAAUAAAAAAAGAGAAAUAAGCCAAAUGUAAAAUAAUAACAGUGACAUUGGAAUUUGUAACUAAUAAUUCGAUUUUUGUUGACUUGCUAUUGCUAAAUAUUGGAAAUAAGAGAAAAAAUUGAGCAAAAGUACUAUUGAAGAAUAUUGUAGGCCAAAAAUGCAACUAUUAAAACUUCAAUGGAUGGAUCAAGCUCAUUCUUAAUUAUUAUUAGUGUUAUUAUUCACGCUUUUGUCAAUUAUUUUAGCACUUUUUACUGCUUUUGAUUGGAAAUUCCCUGGUGCUCGGAUAAUGGGUCAAAGACAUAGAAACACAGAAUCUUUUCUUUUCAGUCCUUUAUCAUACCAAAACGCGUUGCUCCUAUUUCUUUUGAUAUUCGAGGAAACUACAACAAAGACUAUUUGCAUUGCAAGAAUAUAUCCCUGAAUUUAAGCUAAAGCAGUAGGAAAUCAACUACAAAGCCGCUCCGUUUUAUCCAUUUUGGUCUCUCAUGCAACGACUCAUUGACAGAGGCAGUCCUAAUUAAAUUGGAAAUUUCCGACAUCUUGAACUUUCUUUCUUGUUAUCUUCCUUUUUCCUUACAUUUUGCACAGAAGAAACCAGGAUUUUUCAAUCUUUAAUUGCAAAGACAUGAUUGUAUUUGUACCCCAAAAAACCCCAUCAUUUUAGUCUUUAAUUACAUUGCUAGAGAUUGAUAUAUAUAAAAGUAUGCUUCCAAACUAAAACGAACAAGAAAAAAAAUCAAUGCUUUCAAAACAAUAUAUACAUAUAUAUUGUUGGAUAUUUUCAAUAAUAAUGAAUGUGGGACAUAAUUUUACAUUGAAAAAAUAAAAUGAAGAAGAGUUUUCUUCAAACAAAGAGGAAAUAAAAUUUAAAGUAAUUUGCACCCGAAAUUUGACUCAUUGAUUGGUAUAUAAUCUUUUAUCUAAAGAGUAAGGUUCGAAUCUUUUUUCUCCCAACUAAAAAAAAUUUAAAGUAAUUUGACUAAAAUGGGUUAAAGUUCAAAAUGAACCAUAGAUGAGCUUUGUAAGAAUUGAUUCGUUUUGCAAUUAAUUAAAUUAAUAAUAUUUAAUUAAUAAUAAUUUAUUAUAAUGACAUAUGGGCAUAUGGCACUUUUAAUUUAUUUUUAAAUUGCCAACACAGAGGUGUUUCUGCAAUCAAUAAUUAUGACUGAUGAAAACAAACAAUCACGUCUGUUAGAAACAAAUAGUCAUAUCUGUUGAUAUAAGGAAUGCUUUCGAACUAAAACAAAGAAAAAAUCAAUGCUUUUAAAACUAUAUAUAUAAUAUGUAUAAGCAUUUGAAGGUACAAUUGAAAUAUGAUAUCUGCUUUGAAUGAAAAAUCAUAUAGAAAAAGAAUGGGCAUGCAUGUUCGAAGAUUGAAUUUGAUUAUUCCGAUAUCUCAAUUCAAUAGUUUUAGUUCUUUUACCUCAAUUUUAAUAAAUUUAGUUACUUUAUUUUUAUUAAAAAUCAAUUUAAAGAUAAUUUAUAACUGUAUUAAGAUUUUGCUUUCAAUUUGAAUAACGUGGCAUUUUGAUGAUGACUCAGUUACAUGACACAUAUUAAUAAAAAAAUCAUAUUUUAUUUUAAUUAAAUAAUAACUAUUUUUUUUGCAUUUUGAAAAAAAUAGAAACUUUUUAUAAAAAAAUAAAACUUUUUUUUUACACUGAUAUGUGUCUUAUGGUCAAAAGAAUUCAAGUUGGCAUGUUCCGUCAUCAAUAAAAAUUAGUCGUACUAUAAGUGUUUAAUGUUGUUAUCAAUUAUUUUAAAAUUAAUUUUUAAUAAAAAUAUAUAGAUUAAAUUCAUUAAAAUUAGGUAAAAAGAUUAAAAUAACAAAAUUGAGAUAAUAGAGGGACAAACUCAAAUUUCAACCCACAAUUAACACAAGAAUAUGACAAUAAAAAUAAAAAGAAAUAAGCCAAAUGUAAAAUAAUAACUGCGACAUUGAAAUUUGUAACUAAUAAUUCGAUUUUUGUUGACUUGUUUUUGCUAAAUAUUGAAAAUAAGAGAAAAAGAUGAGCAAAAGUACUAUCGAUGAAUAUUACAGGCAAGCAAUGCAACUAUCAAAACUUCGUUGGAUGGAUCAAGCUCAUUUUUUUUAAUUAUUAUUAUUAUUUCAUUCUUUUUAUUUUAUUUUCUUUUUCACUUUUUUGUCAACUUUUUUAACACUUUUUACUACUUUAGAUUGGAAAUUUCCUGGUGAGCAAGCUUUCCGCUAGGCUUAAAAAAAAAAAAAAAGCUUUCUGCUAGGCUAAUGGGUCAAAGACGGUAGAAACAUAAUUUUUUUUCUUUUCUGUCCUUUAUUGUACGAAAACGCGUUGCUCCUCUUUCUUUUCAUUUCGGAGGAAACUACAGCAAAGACCAUUUGCAUGGACUCAUUGAAAGAAUAUAUCCAAUAAAUCAACUAGAAAAACAGCUCUAUUUAUCCAUUUUGCUCUCUCAUCUCAUGCCUUCCUUUUCCCUCCUUCCACUUACUUGCGGCAACCAAAUAACCAAGUGGCUUCAAGUUUAAAUUAAUACUGUAAUUGAUGUGAGUAUGUACAUAUAUAUAAUGCAAGAGUGUGCCUCUCGGAUAAGAAGAUAAUGUACAUAUGUGCAUUUGAAUGAGUAAAGUUUAAACUUAAGCAUGCAUUACAUUGAUUCAAACUAGAAGCACUAUUAUCUACCUAUCUUUGUGUAUUUGUUGCUGACGUCUAUCAAAUAGGAAAGUUUUUUGAUUUUUAUCAAAUUAGUAAACACUUAAUAUAUAUAUAUAUAUAUAUAUAUAUUGUAUAUAAGUAAAAAAUUAAGUAAAUUAAGUAGCAUGNUAAUAUAUAUAUAUAUAUAUAUAUAUAUUGUAUAUGUAAAAAAAAUUAGAAAUUAAGUAGCAUGCAUGCUUGCAUCUAAAUUUUUAUCAAUGAAAUACAUGAACAAGUAAGAAGGUAGAAGAACUUACUUCAUUAUUUUUGAGCACAUUAUACACAUCUUCAUAAGUUCAUAAUCGAAUACGUUUUUCAGGCUGUAACAUCCCGUAUUCUCGUAUAGUAGUUAAUGUAAUCGUCUCGGUAAUACGAAGAGUUAAUUGUAUGAAAUAAUUAUGUGCAUGAUUGUUUAAUUGAAGUUAAAUAAAAAUAAAAAAUAAAAUAAUAAUAAAUAAAUAAUGAAUGAAUGAAUAAAAUAAAAGAAGGAAUAAAGGGAGGUAAGAUGAAUAAUGAGAAAAAAUAAAGAAAUGAGACAUGUAAGAAAUAAGUGGGAUCAUGUGCACAUGAAAAAAUUAAAAUAUAUUUUUAACUUUAAAGCACGUGAAAACAUGUAGGGGGCCGAUCUCAUGAAGCCAUGAAGAGGGAAGAAAGAGCUAAAAAGUGGAUAAGGAUGGCUGGAAAGAAUAAAGAGAAAAAGGGUGAAAGAGUUGGUCUUUGAGGCGAAAUAAAAGAAAGAAAGAGAAAAGUCAAAGCAUUAAAUCAUGUACACAAAAAGUGGGGGCCGGCCACUUGAACAAGAAGAAAGAAAAGAGAGGGUGGGCUGGAAGCAAAAAGAGAGAAAAGACAAGAAAGAAUGGAAAAAGAAGGAGAAGGAAAGGAAAAGAAAGGAAAAAGAGAAGGAGAGAGAGAAGAAAAAGAGCUGAAAGAAAGAGAAAGAAGAAAGAGCUGGUACCGCCGGCUGGCAAAGAGGGAAAGAAAAUCUGCCAAGCCGAGGAGAAAAGAAAGAAAAAGAAAGAAGAAAGGAGAAAGGAAAGGAAGGAGAAGGAGAGAGAAAAAAAAGAAGAGAAAAAGGGUGAGGCUCGGCUGGAAAAGAAAGAAAAAGAAGAAGAAAGAGAGAGGGAGAGCGGCGGUGCUGGAGGAGAAGAAAGAAAAGAGGAGAAAAAGAAGGAGAAAGAGAGAGAAGAAAAAAAAUGAGCUUAGCUCAAUAGGAAAAAAGGUAAAGAACUCAUGAGAAUGGCCCAAUUGGCGACAGGGAAAGAAAAGUCCAAAAGAUUAAAAAAAAUAAAAGUAGAAAUUUGGGCCAACUUAGCUCAACUUAAAAGUGGUUAAGUGAAGAUUGUGAACUAUAAUGACGUGUCGGAUAAAAUAAUGAGUCAUUGAUAAGUAAAAGUAGUGAUGUAGUGUCUCGUUAUUGUGAGGUGAGUGAGUGUUAAAUUUUAAAAAUUAUAUCUCAAUAAAUAUAUUAUAUAUGUUACAUUUGAUAGUUGAUGAAAUUGUGGAAAGCAUGAGUUGAUAAAAAAUCUCAGGUUGUUUGUGAUUGCAAUCAAGGAUUUUAAAUUCGUUUUCUUAUACUAUACGUAAGUAUAUAUCUACAAAGUUUUAAUUACAUGGAAACAAACUUUUCAGUGGCUUUCACUUCAAAAUCAUACCUUGUAAGCUUGUGUGAUGUUUAGGCCAAUGGUCAUUAUUUUAUUCAUGAGAUUUGAUAAAAAAAAAUAAAUUUAUUGAUUUCACUUAACAUGUUGAUUUGUUGGAUAUGCCAUGCUUUGAAAUAAAUAAUGUAUAACAUUCAAUUUAUGAUUAUAUUACUUUCGAUCUGUUAUGUUUUGCAAAUGCAUUAAAUUGCAAUGAUUUUCAUUUUAACGUGAUUGAAAUACUCUGGGUAGGACCUGUUACCACACCAGGUUAAGUGUGGUCUUUGUGCACAAAGUAAAAAUUGUUGAUUAUCGAUAUUUGAUUGUAAAAAGGAAGACCUGAAGCCCCGAUUUAUAUUAGGUGGCAUGAGUAGUUCUACGAGUAGGUAAAGGGGGACUUGAAGCCCCGAUUUAUAAUGGGUGGCGUGAGUAGUUCCCACGAGUAAGUAAAAAGGAACCUAAAGCCCCGAUUCAUAUGAUGGCGUGGGCAGUUCCCACAAGUAGGUGAUGAUAUCUGAGAAAGUAAGCCUAAGGGCUAUACUAAACCUACCCGAGGAUGAUGCUCACUUGUGGAUUUUUAUUACACAAUGCAUAACAUUAACACUUGAAAUUUAUCAUUGAAUGGCAAGUGAAAUUUACAUAUUUAUUGGUGAUCAGUCAUUUCGCAUUUUAUGUUUGAGACUCUUCAUUCUACACUUGCAAUUGGAUUUACUAUCAAUUGGAUACCGGAGUUAAAAGAUUGUCUAGUACCUUAAUUACUAUCGUUUUCAUAUAUGUUACUUGUGAUUUAUUAUUUUUAAGACUUGCAAGGUAUAAAAUAAAAUCUCUAAGUUUAAUGGAGUGUGUUUCCUACGCUUACUCUUGGAUUUAUAAACAUUCCACUUUUAUGUUUGUUUCCCCUCCUCGCCUGCUCACAAGGUUGAUGAUGAUCACUGAGUUUAUGAGACUCACAUCCCUCUUAUUUCCCCUUUUGCAGACAAGGAUUGGCCUAGCGUGUAAUCAUUGGUACGUGCGAUCUACUGCAGCUAGGUAAAGGCAUCUCAUAGCAUUUUAUCCCGAGUCGCUCCGUUGUAAGAGGUCGAGUUGUAGCUCUUUGUUCAUUAAGUUGUAAACGGAUAUUGAUGUUGAUAUAAAUAAAUAAUUGGAGAUUGUGGACUUCAAUGUGUGAAUUUGUGAUUAAAUGAUUUAAAGCUUGAAUCAAUUAUUAUGUUUAUGGUUCAAGUUACGAUAUAAAAGUAUUAUUUUAAGUAUUAAUAUGGAAUAGUGAUGAUAUGUAGUGAACUAAUGGGCAUUUCGAGAAAGGCUUGUUCGAGACUUGACGAGUCUUUCUCGAAGGUCUCAGACACUGGUAGCGACUGGGGAGGGGUCGUUACACAGGCCUUAUGGAUUCUAAAUGAACAACAUACCUAUGCCACGAGAUUUUAGGGUUUUACAAAGGGAAAUUUUUUUUUUAGCCCUUAAAUAUAAAAUGCUUUUGGAAAUGGCCCUUCAGAUAAUUUUAACUGUUUUUAGCCAGAAAAUGAGAUUUUGAGACAAAAAUGCCCUUAAUGAGACAUCUUCAUUGACGCACACUCCCAUACACACAUAAAA